CUUGUGUAUGGCAGCUUCUGAAUCAGCUGGGAGCUCUCCUAUCGGAGCUUCAGUCGGGACUGCACAUCCCUGCGGGAGAUGAGUCUGGACUUGUUCCCUCAGUCCUGUCAGGGCUCUAAGAGACUGAGUGAAGGCACAGAUGGCCUUCAUGGCUGGACUCAGAACUGUCGUCCCAGCAGCACUCUGCCACAGCAAACUGUGGAGCCAGCCAGCCUUGAUCCAAAAGGUGCCCCUGUGGUUGAGGAACCAGUGGAGCCACGUUGGAAAAGGCUUAGACAGAAGAGCAGCUGUGCACAGUGGCAGUUCUCAAGCUACCACAGAUCUGCGCUGGCUCUGUCCUGGCACUGUGGUAAGUUUUGUUAGAUUUCUCUUUCUUCCCAUUUAGAAUGGAAGUUGCUGAGGGCAACACCAUCCUCUUUAUUUUCUGUAUCUUCCGAAAACAUACCAAUUGAAUGCAGUUCAGGAAGAAAUAGACUAACAGGGUGACUGCUAAGACAUAGCAUGUUGAAGAUUUCUCAGUAGAGGUGGAAGGGAAGGCUCCACUAGGAAGAGGAGCUUAAUCUGGUCAUAAAGGGUGAGAAGACCAGAAGUUGUAAUGGAAUGAGACAUGGUAGUCAGGCAAGAUCUCACACAAAAUUGUAUCAGGAGGACCGUUGAUUGCUACAAGGUAUGUUCAUAGAUACGUGUUAGUUAAAACAAUUUGAGAUUCAGGUAUAGAUGUGUGUAUCUGUCUGCAGGUCUCUCUCUUUCCAUCUUUACCUCUACUCACUCACUCUGUCUGUCUAUCUAUUGUGGUCAUUACAUUUAUGAAGUUAUAAAAUUGUUAAGUUUGGGUCAAUUUGUCAGAGUUGGAAUCCCGUCUCCAACUCUUAUGAUCUCUGUGACCUUAAGCAAGUCAUUUCGUCUUUUAAUUCCUGCUCCUCUGAUCCACAUAGAGGGGAUAUUGGCAGCAAUCCCCACCUCAGGGUGUUACUGUGGAGAUGGAAUGCCAGAGGAGUCAGGCCUGGCCCUGAGAAGCACCAGCAUGUCUUCAUUAUCGGUAAUAACAACUAAUGCUGCAAGGAGAAGUUGCUUAUUGCAAGAACGGCUGUCAUUCCUGAAGAGAGAAGUACCAGGAAGUGGUUCUUUGGAAAGGUUGAUCCCACAUAGUACAGUGUGUGGGCCAGUGCGGGGUGAUUGUGUGGGUGAGGGGUUGUUUUAGAAGAUGUGGGCCUUGCCCACAAGACCUCAAAGGCUGGUUGUAGGUAUAAAUUAUUUAUGUGAAGAUAUAGUAACACAAGAUAGUAAGCAAAUUCCAGGUAAUGCAGACAUUGAGAGGUCCUGUGAAGGUCAAGGGUGGGGGGAGAAAGAGGGUGAUAGAGAAGGAGUGAAAGAAGUAAGAUCUGGGGUUGGUUUGACUAUUGCCUUGACCAUGGUUUUAGCUCAACAAAAUAACAUUUAUUUCCACUUGAAAGAUUGAGCUCUUGGAGCAACCCAUGCAGAAUAAUGUAGAUAGGCAAUGAAAUGCUGCUUCCUCCCAGCACGAUACUAAAUUUCUUGAAAAACUAUGGGCUUUCUUCUCUUCACUAGCCUCAGCUAGUCCAGAGCUAGCGGCCCUCCCAAAGAUUUGCUAAGAGCCAGUAUGAGCUACAGAAAAGCUGUGCCUGCCUCUGGUGCUUGAAGGUAAACAUUUAAGUGUUCUAAGUGGGUCGGUCAGACUUCCUGUGCAGAUGUGGAGGUGAAGGGACGUUGGGGUGCAUUUUACCUUGAAUUUCAGAAGAUGUGGUAAAGCACAUCUGGACAGGUAUAUGUGUUUUUUUUUUUUUGAAUAAAUGAAGUAUUCAGUAAAACUUUGUAAUUACAAUAUUAUUUUUUGGGUGAGAGAUAAAAAAAUGAUAAAAGGAAAAAGUGUGUACAUGCAACUCAGCAGAACAAGGCAGGUUUGUGGGUGCUGACUCCUCACGGAGAGGCCCUGGGGUAUCCUCCAUAGGACUGGGUCUUGGCCAUGUAUUUUGGUGGGCUUCGCCAUCUCAGGUAUUUCCUCACACUUGCUGAGGGGCUCCAUGAAGCUAAUUAUGUAUCAUUUCACACAAGUAUAUGUUGUUUGUGUGCAUGAAUAUUCACACACCUGUUACCUAGCCAGAACUUUACUAGAGUACAUUUUUCAUCUUUAACCUCUUUUUUGUUGCUGGAGGGGAAUACUUCUUUCUUGCUCAAUUUGAAUUCUAAUUAAAAUUCCAAUUCUAAAAUUCCAAUUCUUCUUCCACUUUCUUUUCUCGUCUUUUCCCUUUCUUUUUCCCAUCUUUUCAUUCUCUUUUCUCUUCUUCUUCAUUCUUUUAUUCUUACUUCUUAUAUCAGGGGUAUUGUCUUAAUUGCAAAUAAUUCUCCUACCCUAACAUCGUGUAUCUCUCUCCCUUUUGGGGUUUUCUUUUUAGCAUUUUAAUCUGACUACCUAUUAUGGGUUGAAUUGUGUCCUUCCCAAAUGCAUACAUUGAAGUCCUAAUCUCUUCUAUUUCAGAAUUUGACCUUAUUUGGAAAUAGAGUUAUUUCAGAUAAAAUCAGUUUAAGAUGAAGAAACACUGAGGGGGCUACUCCAAAAUGGCCAGUGUCCUUAUAGAAAGCAGAAUUUUGAACACAGGUAUACACACAGGGAGAAUGUCAUGUGUAAAUGAAGGCAAAGAUUGGGAGGUAAACAUACAAGCCAGUAAAUGCCAAAAAUUGAUGGUAAACUACCAGGAACUAGGAGCCAGUUAUGAAACAGAUUCUUUUUCCCAGUUCUCAGAAUAACCAGCUCUGUGGACACCUUGAUCUUGAUUUCUAGCCUUCAAAACUGUUAGAAUAAAUUUUUCUUGCUUAAACCACCCGGUUUGUGGUAUUUUGUUAUAGAAGCCCUAGCAAACCAAUAUAGUACAUUUUUGUGUGUUCUUUAUGUACAUAUGCAUUUACUCUCCCUUAUUAUUCCAGAAAUGUUGGUACUAAAAUGUUAGUAAAACCCCAAAAAGAGUAAUAAAAGAGCUAUAGAAUGCAAUUGGAGGAAGUAAAGGCAAAAAUCUGACAAUGAACCCAUCCUUUCCUUCAGCAUUUGUUGUAAAUCAAAUUGAUUUGGAAGUAGGAAAAGGUGUGUUGAUAUUCAAACUAAUGAAAAAGCUCAUACCUUCAAAUUGUAUAUUGGCCAAGGUUUGAUUAAGUUUUAAGCUCUGCAAGGGCAGUGACCUAUUUUUUUUUUUUUUUUAAUCAUUGUUUUGUUUAUCAUUGUAUUAUACCUAGUGUAAUACCUGUCACAUACUAGGUGAAUAUGCAGCAUUAUAAAGUGACUGAUUGCCUAGGGAUAUAAAGUUAAUCCUUAUGGCAAAACAGAAGGCAGAUGUCACCAUUCCAAUGAGAAAAAAACUGAAACUCUCUUUUUAGUUCUGGAAUUCUCAGUUUCUUUCUGUCCAAUCGGGGCAUCAUUUACUAACAAUUUAUCAGAUGUCUACCACAGCAUAGUCUUCAGAGAAUAUAAAAAAUAAAUACUCCUUGGCCUCAGGGGCUUUCCCUUAAACCUUCGUACUGCUGCACACUACCAUGUGUUAAUAAGAGCAAGCCUGAGAAAAGUUCAGCGGCACACAUUUGCAUUAUUGGAACCACCAUUUGACAUACAGGCACGAUCUCUCUUGUGAGCUCCCUGAAGCCUCUAGGGUCCAUCUUUUGGAUCUCAGACCACCUCCUGCCCUGAAGGGUUUAUGUAAGGUUGACAUGACGACAUUGCAGGGCAGAAUUCUACAGUCUUAGAGUUGGCAUCGGGCAACUGAUGGCUGAACAAGGGCUCCUUAGAAGCAAAGUGGAUAUUAUCCUAAGGGUAAAGGUUGCAGAUCUCUCUGGAGCCUUAUACUCCACUGAUGCAAUGAGCGGUAGGGCCCAAUCCAUAUAUUUUGAACACAUUUAUCUUUGCCAAGGAUGGCCCAUUUCUAAUUUCUGUCUUGCCACUACAGGAGUGCUAUCUUUUGUUCCACGGAAACCUCUUCUCGAUGUUAGGAUGAUCACUAGAAGAUUCCCAUGUUGGUUGACACCUGAAUAACUAGAACACUUGCAGUAGCUAUUUUCAGGGUGUGGGCUGCUGAUCAGGAAGCCAGAAGCUCACCCCAGACCUUCAUUUUUUUUCAAUUCAAGCAAUGACAGCUUGAACUAAUACACACAGUGUCAUAUUAUCUAUUCCGAAAUGUUUAAAAGUAAAUGACAAACACUGUGACAAACGCUUUAGGAGGACCAGUUUACACAGUCCACACCACCCACCACUGUCUUCCACCCUGUGGCUUCUGCUACAUUUGUCCCUAUUUGGAUCCUGUAGCUGUUUGAGUCUGUGAGUACUGAUAUGAAGAAUGAGGAUGUGGGCAUUGGAAGCCAGAAAAGAGAAUUCAGACUCUACUUAAUCAUAGGCAUUGGUAAUAAUAGGCACUGUAAAAACAGAUGCACAUGAAAGUUCACUAGCUGAACUGGGCGUGGAGGUGCACGCCUGUAACCCAGUAGCAACAAAACAAAACAAAAAAAAGGAAAAAAAGGAAAGUUCAUUAGAUGAACACUCCAGAGAUGAGCAUCAUUCUCAGUUCUGCCAUUACCUGAAUGUAUGGGUCUGGCUGCUACUUCACCUCUCUGGGACUAAGUGGCCUCAUCUAUAAAAAGUAUAGCCUGGAUGAGAUAUUCUGUAAAGACUCUUAAAAUUCCCGAAUGUCAUGAUUUUAUAUUCUACUUAGCGGUCAGAGGCAGGAUGAGCUAUCUGUGGAGGCAACAUGAGCCAGAAUUCCAGCUGGGACACAUUAAGUACAAUUUAAAAUUUGUAAACUUUUGCAAACAUUCCAUAUUACUUAUGGAGUGACUUAAACUUUUUGGCAUAUUAAAUACAUCUCUUAUAGUGGUGUGGCUAUAUGGCAAAAUUGCUCCUAUUUGUUCAUGCAUAUAUAUAUUUAUUAUACCCAGCCUUGUUAAGAUUGGAUUUAAAGAAAUUUUCCACCUUCCUAAUAACGAUUCCAUGGCUUCUAUGCAUGCCACUAGGUGGCGAUGUUGUGUUUUUGAAACCCAUUUACUUUUUAGAAGAGAGAAAUGAUGGGUGAGAUACUACUUAAAAAUAAAAAUCACAUUUUGAGUUUUUGCUCACUUUUGAAUCAUAUUUCCUAGAAUUUGCUCAUUGUUUAAAAUGUGACAAGAAACCUUAAUUCUUAAGUUCAGAGGAAUUAGGUUUUGUUGUUCUUUAAAGCAAUCCCAAUAUCUAAGUAAAAUCAAAUAAAACAAAUCAAAUCUAUUCUAUGGCUUAAAAAGAACUUCAAUUUCUCUUCUAAAGGGAAUUUAAACAGUUUUUUCUGAAAAUAUUUAGGGAAUUGUAAAGUUUUUUUUUUUUAAAUUUUCUUAUUCUUUUCUGAGGAACAUGCUUAAUAUAGCAUAAAACAACUGCUGCAGAUAGAAAAUAUCUCAGAAAAAAUUGAAUUUGUAUUGAAAACAUACAGACUUUACUUCUUGUUAUUAUUCCUUAAACAAUACAGUUUAACAACUAUUUACACAGCAUUUACACUGUAUUAGAUAUUAUAAGUAAUCAAGAGAUGAUUAAUGUUUAUUGGAGGAUAUAUACAGGUUCUAUGCAAAUGCCACAUCAUGAGUAUCUGCAGAUUUUGGUAUAUGAGGGGGUCCUGGAACCAGCCCUCCAUGGAUACAAAGGGACGACUGUAUACCUGUUUUGGCUGGGGGGGAGGGGGGAGGCCAUUCAAAAAAACCAACGUCACUUUGGGUCAUUAUGAUUAUGUGCUUUUGGGGAAGAAAGAUGUUCCUCUAUUUAGGAAAAUCAUACAAGGCAUCUCUUUCUAGAAUAAAGGUGAAUGCUUGAAAGAAGGAGAAGGGCAUGAGACCAAGGAUUUAGAGAGUGUUUUCUCCUGUAUGACAGUGAAUGAGACUCAUCUCUUUCACAGAGACUGGGUGUAAGAACCAUGAGUUUAGAGGAAAGCUAUUCCUGUGUUCAGUUAUCUGAGACUGAUUUUCUCCAAGUUCUGUUGUAUUGACAGUGGGCAAGUGGAGCAGGAGAAAAGGUGGAUAAUGUGGUUCUGGUCUUAUUUUCUCUGUCAUUAGCCUCACAAUGCUCACUUACUGAUAGACAAACACUCAGCUAGUAUCUCCAGCAAUUUAACACCAUGGUAGGGCUAUUGGCUGUGGAGCUGAACUGUCUGGCCUAUAUCAGCUUCAAAGAUGGACAACCAAUCUGUCAUGGUGUUGACUUCCUUAUCUGUAAAAUGGGGCUUUUAAAAAUCAUUCUUCCUGACUUUUUUGGGAUGGUUAUGGGAUCUCAAUAGGUGGGGAUUAAAAAAAAAAUCAAACAGAGUGCUUGAAAUAUAGUAGCUAUUAUUAUUGUUCUCUUUUUUGUUCUGAAGGUUGACCAAAACAACCCUAUGGUGACCCAAUAUGAAUGACUGACCAAAUUAAGCAAGACUGUUAAGAUAGCUAUUUUAAUUUAAUGGCUAUAAAUCUCUUCCCCUGUUUGCAUUUAUUUUUAUGGCAAAUUCAUAGGUUGUUCCACAUUCAAAACCUCAUGUACUUCUUCCUCAUAAACUAAAAGCAAAACAAACCAAACAAAACUCAUAUUCAAGGUAAUGGCUUUCAUAAGUGACUAAUUGCCCUCACUUGGGGAUUCAGAAAUUCUUAAAGAGAUAUGAACCUGGAAAUUUGAUGUUGAUUUGAUUUCCCAGGCUUCCAUAAUUUUUAGAUUUAAAUAAUUUUAGCAGAAGCUAUUUUCAUUUAUUUUAUUGAACUGAACAGGUAAAGGCUGAAACUACUGCUGCAUCAUAUUCUGCAAAAUUCUUACGACAAAGCAGUGUGCUGGGUGAUUUUCCUCUUUUGCAAAGAGCAUGUCUCAGACAAAUUAAUGCCUUUCUUUUCCCCAAAGUGCAUGAUUUGAAAUAAUGAAAACUUGGAUUCAGAAGUUGCUUUUUGCAGAAUGUGACAAAAAUACAGGGACACACGAUCGUCCCAAGUGGUGGAAUGGGAAGGUGGGCUCUUUGCUACGGGUCACUGAGGUGGGGAAAUCAUCUGAUGAAGAUAAUGAAGAUGAAAGCCAGCUGUGCUCAUGAGAGUCCUUCCAAGCGGAGGGCCUGGCCUGUGCUGGACAGAAGGUCCCACCAGAGUUCCAGGGCGAAGUGGUGAUUCUCAACUGGAAACAUUUUCCACCGUCUCCCCUGCCCGCCCUGUCCAGGGGAUCUCUGACAAUGUCUGUAAACAUGUUUGAUUGUCAUAACUAAGAGGAGGGUGACUAUUAGCAUCUGGUAGCUAGAGGCCAGGGAUACUGCCAAACAUCCUACAAUACCUAGGACAUCCCCAGCCACAAAGAAUUAUCCAGUCCAGAAUGUCAGUCGGGCUGGGGUUGAGAGCCUGGCUUAGAAGGAGCUUACAGUUAUUGGGUUCAGAGCCCUAUUGCCUAGGUUAAGACCUGUAAGGUGAUAUCUGGGCCUCCGAUAAGACUUGGAUGCUUUAUAGUGAAGAUGCAGUUUUCACUCUUUGCUCUUUUAUCACAGAAAAAGAACAGAAAAGAAAGCUCUGUGAGAGCUACGUUAAAAGAUUUCUAUUAUCUUUUAAAGAACAUUACACAAACUAAACAUUGUGAACUACUAAUGUCAUAUGAUUACUUGAACGUAAUGUGAGCUAUCAUUCCAGAUGAGCCUGAUAGAAGUAAUCAGUGUUUUAUUGGCAUAUAAAACAAGACAGAAGUGCUUUCUAGGACCAGCCUUCAACUGCAGAUGUACAGACGGCCCCGGACUCACAAUGGUUUGACUUGGAUCUUAGGUCUUUGUGAUGCUGUGAAAGCUUAUCCACACAAUCACUCUGUGUUUUACUUUGAGUAUAAUAUUUGUGAGAUGUCCAAUACUUCACCAAAAAAAUGGGCUUUGUGUGUGUUAUGGCUGGGAUAUUAAAUGUUCCCCAAAGACAUGUUUGUUAGAGGCUUGGUCCCCAGCCAGUGUGGUACUAUUGGGAGAUGAUGGGACCUUUAGGAUGUGGGGCCUAGUGGAAGGAAUUUAGGUCAUUGAGGCAUGGCCUUGCAGGGGGUAUUGGAACCUAGUCCCUUUGCUCUAUCACAUGUUCCCCACCAUGAUGUUCUGUGCCACCACAGGCCGAAAAGCAAUGGAGUCAAAACCCAUUGCUUUGGACAGAAACCCCUAAACCAUGAACCAAAAUAAACCUUUUCUCCUUUUAAGUUGAUUUUCUCAGGUUUUUUUCUCACAGCAACAGAAAACAGAUUAACACCGUUGGAUGAUUUUGCCCAGCUGUAGGCUGAUGUAAAUAGUCUGUGCACAUUUAAGGUAGGCUAGGCUGAGGCAGGAUGUUCAGUAGGUCAGGUGUAUUCAAUGGAUUUCCGACUUAUGAUAUUUCCAGCUUAUUAUGGAAUGACACGACCCCAUCAUAAGUGGAGGAUGAUCUGGGCUACAUAGCAGACACUGGAGACGUGCUGGUGAGCAAUUAGUCACAUCCACUGCCUUCAAGGAGUCAAUAGUGUCAGGACGGUAACCUGAAUCAGUGUAAAAAUCAGUGUGGGAGAUGUGACCUUAUUAUCCUUAUUUCUAUCAUGUAAAUGACAUCCUUACAGGGUUUGUGAAGGAGAGGCCUAUUAUGCACUGGGGUGUGAGGCGGGCUCCUUACCUGUGUUGAUGCACAGAACCAAGGUGAGCGUUCUAAAGGUGGUGUCCAGCAGGUGGAGCAGGCUGAGUGGGGGCCAGUGGUCCCUGGUGGAGAUCACAAGCACAGCCCAGAUGGACACUAACGUGAACACUCCAGUGACAGAGAAACCUGCAAGAGGCAGAAGGGAGCAAAACCUCCUUCCUGUGACUGCCUGCAUGGACAAAGCAGAGUAGGCACUCCCCCCGGACAGCCUUCCCUUAGGGAGCGGGAACCAGACCACUCUGAGAUGCUCUUAACAAUUUCCUGGAAAUGUCUAAUUUGGAAUGUGAGUUUCCCAAACCACCAUUCCAGUCUGAGGCUUCCUCAAGGCUCGGCUUCUGGAUCUGGCCACAUUGUUACCAGGAUUCUACUUUCUGUUUAAUUCUGUAGCUUUUCUGUUAAGGGCAGGUGGCUGGGGUGCGUUGUGGGGUAGUCAGUCUUAGCAGGUUGGGAGAAGCCAGCAGUUUGGAGAAACAAGUUCAAUGUCCCUGCAAAGGAGGAGUGGACUGUUGACCUCCAUCACUCCAGAAGUGUUGUAAUUUAUCUUCAUCUUUGUUCCAAUAUUUAGAGAUUUUUUUCUCUUUUUAUGCCAUUUUACCUUUCUGGCAAUAUAGGUCCCAUACACUAUCCUUUUUUGAAGACAGUAGUAAGUAUUCUGAAGUAUCCAGAAGGGGCUUUCUCACGAUCAGGAGUACCAUAUUGCACAACCGCAGAAGGUAUCAUGCACAAUGCACUACAACUAUACAAUGUAGUCUGUGUGAAAGAUCCUUAUGAAGUUGUUCAGUGCACAAUCCAUGCAACCACACAAAGCAACUCUCUUUGUGAAGGCCUUCUGAGAGUGUUUAGGGAAGUCAGUAUCCUUCUGGAUGAUCCACAGGGAUAAGCAGACAGCUGUGAUCAGCAAGCCCCCCUCCUGCAGCAAUGGGAAGAAUGCACGAGUCUGCCUUUGGGUGUUGAGCUUACCUGAAUGGACGCCGGUCAGCAGAUUUCCUUUGGUUCCCUGAAAGGUGGAGGCCAUGCUUUCCCUCAGGGCUGGUUCCCUUCUCUCUACCUGUUCCCCAGAAUCUGCUUGAUUCAGCUUCUAAUAUCUGCCCACCACAUUUCUCCCACCACCUUCCCUCCCCACCUACCCUGUUUUCCUGGGCAGGGUGAAUUCUGGCUUCUUUGCUCUGUUUACAUUAUCUUUGUAGCUCAAAAUCUCUGCCUGUCUUACUUGUGGUCACUCGGAUCACCAUUCUUUUUAACCCUAUGAUCACGAUUCAUAUUUGGAAGUUACAAGCAUCUUGGAACUGGAGACUAUCAUGCUAAAUGAAAUAAGCCAAUUCUCCCAAAACCAAAGGCUGGAUGUUCUCUGUGACAUGCAGAGGCUGACUCACAAUAAGGGGGGAAGAAGGAAUAGAAGUGCACUGGAUCAGACAAAGGGGAAUGAAGGGAAGGGAGGGAGGAGGGGAAUAGGAAAAACAGGAGAAUGAAUCGGACGUUAGUUUCCUAUAUUCAUGUAUGAAUGCACGACCAGUGAAACUCCACAUCAUAUCCAACCACAAGAGUGGGAAGUAUACUCCAUGUAUGUAUUUAUGUCAAAAUAUACUCUAUUGUCAUGUCUAUCUAAAAAAGAACAAAUAAUGAAUAAAUAAAUACCCACACCCAGGCCCAACUUUCCCACAACCAGGCCUUCUGUCACAGUGUUCCCUCCAGCCAGGAUUCCUUUCCCCAUAUCCCAGAAUGGCUGCCUGUGACCCAUACUUGAAGGCUCAUUGACUCUUCUUCCUAGAUGACUUCCUUGAUUCUCCCUCUUUCCUAGAUUUCUAUCAAAAUAUGCAUGCCAGCCUCUCCACUAUGCCCAUCAAAAGAUGUGUGUUUAUUUUCUGAACUCUAAAAAAAACCUUUGACUGUGACUUUAUCGUGAUAUUUAUUACUGUGCACUGUAUAUAGCGUAUUACCUUUUCCAACUGUUUGCUAAAUCUUGCUGGGGAGGGUGGCUGGGGUAGGCAAAAAGAAUCAUGCUUCAGCUCAUCCUCUUACUUUCCACCAAACCUACUACCAUGUUUUGUUUAUAGCCAUUCUCAAUAAAUGUGCUAUGAACAAGUUUUUUUAAAAGCGGCAUCUUGAUGUUUCUCAGUGUUGGUAUUCCUUUGUAGAAGGCAUCGUUUGAAGGAACGCCUGUAGGUGAUGGGGCAAAUAGCUGGGAACUAAGAGAAAGAAAGAAACAUAGAAGAUGAGUGGAGCCGGGUGCGGUGGCACACACCUGAUAUCCCAGUGGCUCCGGAGGCUGAGGCAGGAGGAUCGCAAGUUCAAAGCCAGCCUCAGCAAUUUAGCAAGGUUCUGUCUCGAAAUUAAUAUUAAAAAAGGGCUGGGGAUGUGGCUCAGUUGUGGCUCAGUGGUAAAGCACCUUUGGGUUCAAUCUCUAGUACAAAAAAAAAAAAAAAAAAAAGAGUAGACCCAGAGUCUCUUUUUCUUUCAUUGGUGAAAUGCUUGGUUCUCCUAAUCUCGUGGGGAGUUACAGAAAGGUAGAAGCAAUGUGUCUUGUUCUCCUCUGUGAUUACUUAGCUCCUGGCAUAGUUUCCAACACAAAACCAGCACUGAGUAAAAACAGUGGGAUAAAUAAAGAAAUGGACCUACUCAUUUUUGUGGAUGUUGUUUUAUAUCAGGAUAGUUUUCAGUUGCAUGUAACAGAAUCAUUAUUGCAGAGCCUUAACUACAUAGGAAGCCUUUUUCUCAUGAUCAGUCUAGAGGCAGAGACCUAGGAAGCAGGAGGUGUACCCAUGGCCAGUCAGGGAACAGUCCUACUUCCCGGCCCUGUCCUUCUUUGCAUGUGGCUUUUGAACUCAGGGUCGAAGGAUGGUUGCACCAUCUCCAAGCACACAGUGGAUCUUCAUGGUGAAUCAGAUGAAUCUGUAUCUUUUUAUUUGGAAAAUUACAGCUUUUUGAGGAACUCCGCUAAUGUAUCACUAAGCAAACUGUGCUAUCCCUUGCAGCAAGGGAGAUGGAAAUGAGGUUCAGUUUAACCUGGGUUCUCUUGGUGUCUGAUAUUGUAAGCAUUUCUUGGUGGUGACUAUGUUGUAUUUAUAUUUUGUAUCCUAUUUUUAAAAUUAAUAAUAUAAAUAUCCUAUUUUAAAAAUUAAUGUAAAUUAAUAAUAAUUGAUGUUAUAUAAUAAUAAUGGAUGUUAUGUAAUAAAAAUUUUUGUAAACAUAAUUCCUAGCUUUAUAUCUUUGAGAACCUUUUAAGAAAAGACCUAAAGCCCCUAUCUAAAUGAGGAGGCCUGGAAAUAUUUCCGACAAUGAUUUUAUAAAAGAAAACCUUUAUUGUAAUGGUGCUCAUGAGUGUGAUCCAAACUGAUUGCAUCUGAUCAGUAAUUUAGAAUUUAGAUUAAGCAAGAAUGGAAUUCAAAGAUAAAUGAUCUCUUUAAGAAAACAUUCAGUUAGUAUGCUCCUAUUCAUCUCCAUUAAAGAUGUAAUUUUCACAUAUUUGACACAUGGUUUUAUUCAUCCAUUUUACUCUGUGAACAAUCAUUGAGCACCUACUAGGUUCCUGGUGCUUGGCAUAAACACGAAUGCGGUAGUGGAGCACUUACCAGGAACUGCAGCAUUCACGCAGUCCACAGUGCAGAGUGCUGAGUGCUCCGGGAGCCUGCCUUUUAGUGGAAGGAGGCAAAAAACUUAGCAAGUAGGCACACUGAUCAAUAAUACCUUUCAGAUGGAAAUCAGUACUUACAGAAAAUAGCCUCACGGAGGGGCAUGCCUUGUAAUCCCAGCAACCUGGGAGGCUGAGGCAGGAGGGUCGCAAGUUCAAGGCCAGCCUCUGCAACUUAGUGAGACUCUAAGAAACUUAGCGAGAACUUGUCUCAAAAUAAAAAAUAGAAAGAGCUGAAGAUGUAGCAGUAAAGCACCCCUGAGUUCAAUCUCCAGACAAGAAAAAGAGAAGAGAUCGAUGGAGUAGGAAGUGUUGGGAGUAUAGGUUAUAGGGAGCCCUUUCUCAUUGGGUGGUCAGGGAAGAGAAGGGAGCCCAUCCACAGGGUGGGUGAAGGCUCAGGGCAGCGGGGACAACCAGUACAAAGCCCUGAAGCUGGAGAAACUGUGAUGUAAUACAAUUUACUGGCUUUGGCCAAGGGAAACAGAUGGCAUGGCUGAGUGUAGUCAUGGGGGAUGCUGGUACAAGUUCAUGGAGGAAGGACCACAUGGAAAUUCAGGAUGGGUGAAGGAGUUAAGAGUGUAUCCUAAGUGAAAUUAGAGGCCAGUGGAGUGUUAAGCCUGAUUCAUGGUUCGCAACCUCUGUCUGAAGGUGAGCCGCGGUGUUGGGGCUGGUGGCCUGGAGAUGGAUGGGCAGGCACUGCUGUGGGGUGGGCGCUGGAGCAUGGUGGCUCAGAUUAAGGUGACUGGAGUAGUGAUAAAGGUACGCUUGGGGGACGUUGGGAGGCUGAACCAAUACAUUUGCUGGGACAUUCUGUGGGAUGGAACCAGGGAAGAGGAGGAAGGACAGCUUCUAAGUUGGGGUUGAGGCACAACUUUGCACCUGCAUUGGUUUGCUCUGGUGGCCAUUAAGAAAAUACCACAGCCUGUGUGGCUUUGACCACCGAAAUGCGUCUUCUCACAGUUCUAGAGGCUGAAAGUCCAAGAUCAAGGUGUGUUCGGAGUUGGUUUCUGGGGAGGCCCCCCUCUCCUUGACAUACAGGACACAGCUGCCUCCUGGCUGUGUACUCAGCCUUUCCUCUAUGUGUGCCUCCUGCUGUCUCUGUGUGCCCAAAUAUCCUCUUCUUAUAAGGACGCCAGUCUGAUUGGAUUUGGAAACACUAGAGACCUCAUUUUAACUCAGCUCUUUAAAGGUCCUGUCUCCAAAUACGGUCAUACGUCGAGGUCCAGAGAAUCAGUGUUUCAGCAUAAGCCUUUUGAGGAGACACAAUUCAGUCCUUAAGGUUCCUAAGGAGGAGAUACAUAGAUAGAGUUAAUAAUGAGAAAAUUAAGAAAUUCUUGAAAACAUAGAGAUAUCAAGAUAAAUAUUGCAUUAAAAACAAAAUCUGGGUGUUUAAGACUGGUCAGAAGGCUGGGGUUGUGGCUCAGUGGUAGAGCGCUUGCCUAGUAUGUGCGAGGCGCUGGGUUUGAUUCUCAGCACCACAUUAAAAAAAAGGCAUUGUGUCCAUCUACAAUUAAAAAAAAAAAAAGACUGGUCGGAACAGAACCACCAGGGUUAACAGUGCCUGGAAGGAAUUAUAGCAGGGAAGGGCAAGGGUGAGCGUGAAGGGGGGAGGGGAAGGGAGAGGGGACUUCUGGAACUGAUUCCACUUUGCUGAAUGAGAAACAUUAGCGUGUGCAGCUGUAUUUACUCAGGUAUAGAUACUUGCUUCAGCAUAUAAGGAAUUUCACAUUAUAGAUGAAACUUUGAGGCUGAUAAAAGUUGUAUUCGGGGUUGGAGGGAGGGAGGGAGGGAGGGAGAUAGUUUUCCAGGAGGGAGGGAGAUAGAAGAGAUCUGCAUUUUGACUGUGGGGGAAGUUGGUACAUAGGAGGCACAUGGCUCUGCAUUACAUUUGGCAGCUACUUCUUUAGUGCUUUGAAACGGUGACAUUUCAGGGGCAAGGCUUUUCACAAUGAAAGUACUAUUUUUUUUGUAAUUAUGCAAAUAGUAUGUGAGUAUUCAUAUAUCAUUUGUGCACUAUUAAAUAUUCAAACAAUGCUGGGAAUGUAUGAGGAAGAAAGCAAAUCCACCCUCUGAGAUAGUCACCACUAGGCAUUUUUAAUGAACCUUUUUCAUGCUUUGCUUUAUGCAUAUAUAUAUGCACAUCUAUAAUUCAUACCAGUCAAUCUAUUUAUUUAUAGCGAGGUGUGCAUGAACAAAUGGGAGUGUGCACAUACACAUGUGUGCAUGGAUAUGCAUAUGGAUGCACAUGCACGCAUGUGUGUGCACUUGAGAGUAUGUGGACAUGUGUGCAUGCAUGUGCAUGCGGAUGUGUGCACCCCCCCCCCCACACCUUUCUGCUAUCCUCUGGGAACCCAUGUUAGCUGACUGGUUUGCAUUUCUCUCUCUUUUCUCUAAGAGUUUCUGUCCAUUUACCAAUGCACACCUAUAGGUGCACCCCAAUACACAUUAUUGUACAAAUACAAAUUAUUAUACAAAUAAUUUUAAAAUUAACAUCUAUUUUUAUAAAAAAAUGUGAUCUCAGAUGAAUGCACUACACAUAUGAGCACACACUGUUCCUCAUCUUACUUUUUCAUUCCCAUAUAUUUUUGUAAGUGUGCUGCCUAAAUGUGUGUCUGCUUUGCUCAUGGAACUUAAUAUCCAUGCUUGUUGGGAUGCUGGAUUUCAUAAACAUCCCUCUGUUUGCAUCAAAUCUGCAUCACCCCAGCUCUCGGUUCCCCUUUCUCUUCACCUGUUCCUUGCCAAGGAGGUGAGGAGGAGCUUGGUGGUGGACAGAUGAUGGGAGUAGAUGCUCCAUGGGCAGACAUACCUUACUAGACUUUUCUCAGCGCAUGCUCCCCCCAUGCGGGCCAAUUUGAUCUAAAUGCCUGUGAAUCAAAGGGUUGUCCAUACACAGUCCUGAUAUUAGUAGCUCACUAUCUGCUUCACUGUUUCAGUUGCCCCAGAUCUGGAUUUGGAAUAUAAAAUCCCUUUAUAACCUUUUUGCCUUUGUCACUGCUUUUGAUAUCAGUAGAGAUUUGUUCUUUUUCUCCUCCCUGGAGAGACCUAGAUUCACAUACAAAGGUGUGAAUCCAUUCUAUGGUGGUUGCUUUCCUACAGAGCCCACCAGGGAAACUUCCCCACCAUCUGCUGGUCUCUUCCACACCACUUCACCAGUCUUCAUGCAGAGAGCAUGUAGUAAAAGAACCCGCCUGACAAGCAAAGUUAUUUCUAUUGAAAUCAUAUACCAAACUCUUAAGUAAAACGUCAUUCUAUUUAGGGAUGCUUGGGUGGCAGAAGGAAAAUUGGCCUAUUUUUCUGAUUAGUUUACUUUCCACUCUUGAAAACAUUCUUGGCCUAGACCUUGACCCCAGGGGAAUAAAAUAAUCUCUGUUUUUAAUGUUCUGAAUUCUUAACCCCAAAGGGCAAACCAGAUGUUAUUAGUUGUAUAUUCCCUAUAGUACACACUAAAUGAGUCGCAACUCUGAGUAUGGAUAAAAUAAGAGUUAAUGGAAAUAUAUUAUGCUAUUAUUCAAGUUUAAUGGAAACUUGUUAAGAUUUUUUUUUAAAUAUUGCAUGAAAAGUGACUCUAUAAUGAGAUUGUACAGAGCGAGAGUUUGCAGAAUGAUGAAUUAGACCAGCUAGUCAAGAACGUUUGACUGUGUGGCUCUUUCUCCAGGAUUCAUUCUGGAAUGAGCUGACUGGUGCUCAUUUCUGUAUUCUGCAAGGGCAAAUUCUCUGUGACCAUUACUUAGCUCAGAGACUUGGUCUUCCCUGGGGCUGACACUGCACUCCCAGCCAGCAUGAGGCAGACUGGAGCAUCCUGCUUGCCAAACCCCUGGUCUUCUGCUUGCCAAACCCCUGGUCUUCUGCUUGCCAAACCCCUGGUCUUCUGCUUGCCAAACCCCUGGUCUUCUCCUUCUGAGCCCACAGGCCAGAAGGGCAAGGUCAAGAUUGGAAAAGAGCCUGUGUGGCUACCCAACUCCAGUGACACAUGCCUAGUGAUGGGCAGGUCUGGGUGCUGCUUUUAUUAGGAGGACACUGUCACCAGAACCAAAACUCUCCAGGGAAUCAUUAGAGAGACUGAUGGUCCUCAUCUCAUCCCCACUGUUCUACUUCAGGAAAUGUGCAGAGAAAAAAAUAUUUAUUUAUUUAUUUUUUGUGCUCAAAAGUGAAGCUUCAGCUAAUGAAACAUUUCCAUGAUCACAAAUCUUCAGCAGCUAGAUACUGAAAUAUUGGCUCGCUAUGUAUAUGUGUAUAUGUGUGUUCACUUGUGCAAAUGAUUCUAAUAUUAUUUUGGCAAUUUUUUUCAAGUACUUAUUUUUUAGUUGUAGUUGGACACAAUAUCUUUAUUUUAUUUAUUUAUUUUUAUGUGGUGCUGAGGAUCGAAUCCAGGGCCUAGCACAUGCUAGGCAAGUGCUCUAACACUGAGCCACAACCCCAGCCCUUAUUUUGACAAUAGCAGGUUAAAUUCCUACUGGCAGAACAUGGUCUUCCUCCAGUGUGGGUUCUGGGACAUUUAAUUGAAUCUAAUGAAUAUUUAUUGCACUCAGUCAGAGGGACAGACAGUUUUCUGUGGGGAAUGGAGAAUACUGGGAGAUUCGUAAUUGGGAGAUAGACUAAACCCCAUGCUGAGAAGUCUGAGACCUGAAUUCUUGCUCUAACUCCUUUCUUAUCUAUUCCUGUAAGUCUCAGCAGAUCAUUUAACUCUCCAGAAUUUUAAAUCAAAAUUUUAUCAAUGGUAAAAGGCCUAGAUUGACUACCUUAUAAAGAAAGUCUCUUCCACUUGAGAACUGUCAUUCAAGGGUGAAAGAAAAGUUAAACCCUUCGUUAUCAGAUGUAUAUGCACAAAAUGCAUUAAAUCUGAAUGGGUUGGACAAAUCAUAUAAUAAGUAAGGGGAAUUCAGUAACUCCCAGCAUUUAAAUGAUAACUAGGUAUUCUAAAAAAAAAACUAAAACCCUCCUUCAGUAAUUACUGGAUUACACAAAUACUUCCCCUGAUCAUUUAUUCAUUUAUAAAAUAUUUUCAUAUUCUCACAUUGUGAGAGGAGACUACAAGGUGCUAGGGACAUAAGAGUAGGGGUCAAAAUACUUGUCCCCAAAGAACUCACAUGAGGUGGAUCUCAGAGAAAAGAUGGGGAACAAAAGGCAAAUAAAUUACCAUAAAGUGUACUUCCUAAGCUCACUGCCAAAGAAAUGCCUUGUUUCAUAUUUCUAUCCACAUUAUAAAAAACAUAAGAUGGAUGUGAUUGCAAAAUUUGAAAACGUGCUCCUAACUCACUGGCAUGACAAUAAACAAGAAAAUGUAUACUUAGGUAUAACAUAGAUAUUGCCCUGGGGGGAAGUGACACAGGAAAUAGGGUCAAAGGAGCAUUGGCUCUGGAAUAAGGUGGUUAUGAGUUCAGAUUCUGAUGCCUCUGAACUGGUUACCUUAAGUUAUUAACUUCAAGUUUCAAUUCCUUGUUUAUAAAGACAAGAUCACUGAACCUUCCUGACACAGUGGCUGUGACCUUGCAGGAGGGUAGUGUGGAAGAGUCUAAUUUCCGGGUCCUCCCUGUUGUUAUUAUUUCAGCUUCUGUUUGUCACCUCUUCUAAAAAUCUGCGAAUGUUUCUUUCAUUUUACUGAAAUUCUCCACCAAGUGUUAUUAGGCCUUCCUUGAUCUCAGGGCUUUUUGUAAUCUGGAAUUAAAUCUGUCUGGUUGAAAAGCUCCCAUUUACACAGAACUGGGACUUCACGCAGUCAGAGUGUCUCCUGUGGGCUCCCAAAGCUGUCUAGGCUGCAGCCCAUCUCUACUGCCACCUGGUUCCACUUCACCUGCUCUUUACCCCCAUGGGGCAUUUUUGCCAUUUACCUCUACCCUUUUUACAAGCUGCAUGCCCCCCGUACCUCUUUCACCCUAAUGCCCUUAGUUUCAUUACAGCCAGCCAGCAUCCAUCUAGCAAGAGCCUAAUGCAGGCUAGGUGCUGGUCAGUGCACCUUCCGCUUCGUAGGAGCUGUUCCAGUGACACUGGAACUUGCCAGUCUCCACUUCUUUCUACUUACUGGAAAACCUCUGCUCUGUGCUUUGCCUUGCUUUUGCUUACAGGGAACUGGCAUCUCCUCUGAAGUCAUUGUCCUCGAGGAGAUUGCUGCUUGGUGGCUUGGCCUAACAGAUUUUUAUCUCUUUAAAUGUAGACAACAUUUUGUUUUCCAGUGCUACGCUUGUCAAAAAAGUUGCUGAUGCAGUCUGCGUUCCUAAAAUCCACACCGCAAUUUAUUUUCUAAUGUAUUUAUUGCUGUUUGCUUCAACUUUCUCUUUAAUGUUCUGAAUGCUACUAUUGAACAACAGUUUGACUCUCCCAGGAGGCUCCUUGACUCCCAUAUAAAUGGGUUGGAGCUGACACCAGACCUAAGUUUCACUCACAUGUUUCUGUGUCAAGCUGGGACACAGAGAGAUAGAGAAGUUUCAAAACUUAAAAUGGAAUAUUUCUUUUAAAGAGUUUUUGACUUCUAGUCAAAUUGGUAGAUUAAACAUAGCAAAUCACUUUUUCUGUUCCAAAUGUCAAGAAAUUCUGAUUAAAAUGUUUUAAAAUACUUUUUAAAGGUACAAAGAUCAAGGAGACAAAUUCUAGAAGUGAGAAUAGCUGAACUGAGCUGGCCCCAGGCAGUGGCUCCAGAUAUUGAGCCUCUGACACCUGUAUGGGACUGGAGAACAAGUUUUUGGAGGACAAAUUGAACACAAAUUGAGUUCCUCCAUGGGGCUGGGAAAUUGCUGCCCGUUUAUGAAUACAGACUGGGGAUCUAUCUACUAACCUUAGUCAUAGCAAAGAGCAAACUGAGCACUCCCAAUCAUGGCUGAAAUUAGAAUCAUCUAUGAUCAGAACUUCAAUCCUCUGAAACACUGGGUUGCUGGACUCAAGAUUUAUAUUCCUCCAGUGAUGGAGAACCAGGGACUGCAAUAGAGUUUGCAUGGAGGCAAUCCGUAAACCACUCUGCAGAGAAGUCCCAUGACCCAGAGAAGGAAAGUUCAUGGACAACUUUGAUGUGAAAUAAGGUCAUAGGAAAGAAUGACACAGGAAGUGAGAUAGCUGGUUCCAUGAAAAUCAGGCUUCCCUUCCCCCGUGGUAGUGAAUGCCUAACAAAGAGAGAAGAGGGAAUGGAAAAACAUGAAUGAAGUCAACUUAAAUAAGUGUGUUUAAAAGCUGCUUGAAGAGACAAAGGAGAACAUAGCAAAGUGAUGUAAAAAUAAGAAAGGGUGAGACAGAAAAAGCAGACAUGAAAAAUAACCUAAAACACAGUAAUUGGAGCUUAUUAUGAGAUUGGCUAAAUAAUAAAUCACAUAAAACUUAAGAAAGAAUCAGCAAAAUGGAACAGAGCCUUAAUAAAUGGUUCAGAAUUCGUCACUGAGAAUUGAUGAGUCAAGAGGAGAAAAGAAAAAUUAAGAGAUAAUGAACACAAAAUUAGGCCCAAAUACCUCUCCUUGAAGUUCCAGGAGAUUACAGAGGGGAUGAUAGAGUUAAUAGUCACAUAGAGAAUGCUGAGAACUUUCCAGAAAUGAAGAAACCCUCACAUAAGUAGGGAAGAAUAAGUACAAUGUAUAAAUACACUUAGAAAUGUUGCAACGAAGCAGCAAAACCUUAAUAGAAAGUUCUAAAACAAACCAGAGAGAAAUUGUAAUAUUGGUAAAGAAACAAUGAUCAAAUAAACAGAAGGUUUUCAUAAAAAAUAAAAGACAAAAAAAGACAAUGGAGAAUAUUUUAAGGACCUGAGGGAAAAUAUUGUGAAUUUAAAAUUCUUGCUGGAUGAAUGAACAUUUAAGAAUAAGACAAAAUAAUAACAUUUUCAGGCAUGCAAAUACUUGUAAAUGUUAAAAUUAUUGCAAGACAUAUGAAAUACACAAAACAAUGUAAUUAGGAAAUAACAGUGAAUUCAUAAGGAAAAAGCAGGAUGCAAGAAGCAAUAGUGAACAAAAAAAGUGUAGAACAUGGUGGUGUAGUUAAGUGCUUAUUCACUGCAAAGUAAGAUCAUUGCAAUGAGAAUAAGAGUUAAAAAUGUAUGUGUGUGUGUGUGUGUGUGUGUGUGUGUGUGUGAGUGUUUACAGGCCACAUAAGCAUAACACAAUUUUAGUCAUAUGAGUUUGGGUUUAAGACUGGCAAAAGUUUGGGGGGAAUUUAUUACCAAAGUUUUUACCUUAUUUGGAUAGGAAAUGGAGAUGUUGAUUAAUUUUAUAUUUGUUUGGCAGUACAAAUUUAAGUGUGUAUGUAAAAAUAUCAUGGGUAGGGGUAAGGGUUGUAGCUCAGUUGAGACUUCUUGUCUGGCACUGGGCUCAAUUCUCAGCACUGCAUAUAAACAUAUACAUACAUAAAAAUAAAGGUUCAUCAACAACUAAAAAAUACUUAAGCGAAAAGAAGUGGAUAAAAUAUGUAUAUAUGAGCAGCACAGACAAUAAGAUGGCAAUAAGAAGUUCAAAUAUACAAAAAUCAUAAACUAUUUGAAUGGACAGAGAAAUUAAAUGGUGGAUAUGAACAGAUUUCUUUAAUACCUACCUAUUUGGUAUUUUCAAGAAGAACAUUUAAAAAAGGAUGCAAAAGUUUUGACAGACAAGAGACGAUAAAAUAUGUGCUAGGUAACUAUUAAAAUAAAGUCAUGAAGAAACACAAAUCAAUCAAAGGAGGAUAUAGGAUAAAAAUAGGAGAAAAAAAAAAGAGGAAACACUCCAUUGGAAACAAAAGAUCCCCCAGGAAGUCAUAUCAAUGGUGGUUGUGUGCCUAUGAAAGUACAAUUUCCAAACUUCUAAAGCAAGAACUGACAGAAUUAGAGGAGAAACUGACAAUGCCAAACGAUGAUAGGUGAUGUUACAUAUUUCUUUCAGAAAACAUUGCAAACUUCUAAAAAACUUAGUUUUAAAAAAUGCAGUUGACAACUUUGAUCUAAUAAUUUUACACAAGAUUUUGCACUUGACAAAGAACACAUUUUUUUUUCAAGAGUAUGUUGUACUUAAAAAAAUAUGCCCUAUACUCAAAAAAAGUCUGUUUCAACAAUUUUCAGAGUUGAUAUCAGGCAACCAUCUUCUCUGACUACAACACAAUACAGUUAGUAAAGAACUAGAAUCUGAGUUCAAUCCUCAAAUAUUUUUGAAAAUGUUUAAGAAAAAAAUACAUUUAAAAAUAAUGUAUGAGUUAUAAAAGAAGUAAUUAGAGAAAUUAAUAGAAUUAUAAGCACUAUAUUUAAAAAUGUGGAAUUACAGUUAACCAGUUCUCAGAAUGAAACGUAUGGCUUUCAAUACAUUUGUUAAGAAAAUAAAUGAUUUUUGAAUACCAAUGAGAUGAAUAACCAAUUCAAGAAGCAAGGUCAAGGUCUAUAAGGCAAACUGAUGGAUUUUUUUUCUCAGAAUCAAAAACAUGCAAACAUGAAGAUUUAAGUAACAAUAAUUAUUGGCAAGGAUGUGGGGAAAAAGGUACACUCAUACAUUACUGAUGGGACUACAAAUUGGUGCUACCAAUAUGGAAAGCAGUAUGAAGAUUACUCAGAAAACUUGGAAUGGAACCACCAUUUGACCCAGUUAUCCCAUUUUUUUUCGUUUAUACCCAAAGGACUUAAAAUCAGCACACUACAGUGAUGCAGCCAAAUCAAUGUUUAUAACAGCUCAAUUCACAAUAGCUAAACUAUGGAACCAACCUAGAUGCGCUUCAACAGAUGAACGGAUAAAGAAAAUGUGGUACAUAUACACAAUCGAAUAUUACUCAGCCUUAAAGAAGAAUGAAAUUAUGGCACUUGCCAGUAAAUGGAAGGAACUGGAGAAUAUCAUGCUAAGCAAAAUAAGCCAAACCCAAGAAACCAAAGGCCAAAUGUUUUCUCUGAUAAGCAGAUGCUAAUCCAUAAUGGGGGAGGUGUGGGGUAGAAUGAGGGAACUUUGGAUUGUGCAAAGGGGAGUCAGGGGAGGGAAGGGGGUGUGGGGUGUGGAAGGAUGGUGGAAUGAGACAGACAUUAGUACUCUUUAUAUGUGUAUGAUCACACUACUGGUGUGACUGUACACCUUGUUCAGCCAGAGGAAGGAGGAGUUGUGCUCCAUUUGUGUACAAUGUGUCAAAAUGCAUUCUGCUAAUUAAUGUAUAAUUAGAACAAAUUAAAAAAGAAAAUCAAAAAAUUUAAAAAAAUUUAUACAUGAUCCCUUUAAACACUGUCUCUUUCCCACUUUUUCUUGUCUUUUCCUAAUGCCAAGUAAAAGUGUGCUACUUUUGUCAAGUAUCAGAUGACUGCAAGUUUGUGGGUUUGUCUCUGUGUUUUCUAUUCUGUUCAUUGGUCUUCAUGUCUACUUUGAUGCCAAUACCAUGCUGUUUUUUUUUUCCCCUACAGCUUUGUAGCAUAAUUUGAAAUUGGGUAUUAAGGUGCCUCCUGCUUCACUUUUCUUGCUCAGAAUUGCUUUGGCUAUUAUGGGUCUCUUAUUCUUCUAAACAAAUUUAAGGGCUGUUUUUUUUUUUUCUAGUUCUGUGAAGAAUGUCAUUGGUAUUUUGAUGGGGAUUGCAUUGAAUCUGUAUAUUGCUUUUGGCAGUAUGGCCAUUUAGACAACAUUAAUUCUGCCUAUACAAGAACAUGGGAUGUCUUUUCAUCUUCUGAGGUCUUCUUCAGUUUAUUUGUUCAAUAUUCUAUAAUUUUUACUGCAGAGGUCUUUCAUUUCCUUGGUUAAAUUAAUUUCCAGGAAUUUUUUUGAUGUCAUUAUGAAAGGAACAGUUUUUCUGACUUCUUUUUUUCAGCUUAUUUGUUGUUGGAGUAUAGGAAAGCUAUUGAUUUAGGAGUGUUGAUCAUUCAUGCUGCUACUUUGCUGAAUUCAUUUAUCAGUUCUAGGAGUCUUCUGGUGUAUUUGUUUUUUGUAUUUUGGAUAUAGGAUCAUGUCAUUAAGAAACAAAGUAGCUUGACUUCUUUUCAUAUUUGUAGCCCUAUAAUUUCCUUCUCUUGUCUGAUUUCUCUGGCUAGAGUUUCAAGCAAUUUUAAAGUUUCUGUACAGCAAAGGAAACAAUUUUGGUGUGAAAAAAGGGCCUACAGAAUGGGAAAAAAUAUUUGUCAGCUACUCUUCUGACAGGGAGUCAAUAUUCAGAAUAUAUAAAGAUCUCAAAAAAUUCCAAAAAAAGCCCAAUACCCAAUCAAUAAGCAGGCUAAAGAACUAAACAGAAACUUCUCAAAAGAAGAAACACAAGUGGCCAAUGAAUAUAUGAAAAACUGUUCGACAUCUCUAGAAAUCAGGAAUUUGCAAAUCAAAACUACACUGAAAUUUCAUCUCACUUCAGUCAGACUAGCAGUGAUCAAAAAUACAAACAAUAAAAAAUGCUGGUGAGGAUGUGGGGGAAAAGGUACACUGGUACAUUAUUGGUGGGACUGAAAAUUAGUGCAAUAACUCUGGAAAGCAGUGUGGAGAUUCCUCAAUAAACUAGGAAUGGAAACACCAUUAUGACCCAGCUAUCCUACUCUUUGGUAUUUAUCCAAAAGAUCUAAAAUCAGCAUACUAUAGCAAUAUAGCCGCUCAGGGUCUAUGGCAGCACAAUUCACAAUAACCAGAUUGUGAAAUCAACCCAGACGCUCAUCAAUAGAUAAAUGGAUCAAGAAAAUGUCGUAUAUAUAUAAACAGUGGUGUUUUUACUCAGCCAUAAAGGACAACAAAAUUAUGGCAUUUGUUGGUAAAUGGAUGGAAAUGGAGGACAUCAUGCUAAGUGAAGUAAGCCAGACUCAGAAAAAUCAAUGGUUGAAUGAUUUCUAGUGCAAAACAAGGGUAAGAAGGCGGUGGUAGCAGAAUUAGAUAUCAUAAAAAUAUAGGGAAGAUCAGUGGCAUAGAAGAAGUAGAAUGAGAGAUUAGGAAGAAGGAAGUGAUAGGGAAUCAGAUAGGGAAAGAAAUAUGGAAUGACUUUGACAAAAUCAUAUUAUAUGCAUAUAUAAAUAUACCAAAGGUUUCACCUUUUAGGUAUAUGUAGAAAGUACCAAUAAAAAACAAAUAAAUAAAGGAACAAAAGGAAGAUCCGUAGAGGAGGGAACUGAGGAAGAAAAAACAGGGUGGGAUGGGAAUCAGAUUCCUUGCAUGUAUGAUUUUGUCAAAAUAAAGCCAAAUACUAUGUAUAAUCAUAAUGCUCUAAUAAAAAAGUGUGCUAGACCUUUCUUUUUGUGUUUUUUCCUUCUUUUUUUUGUUAAAUACUUUUUUAGUUGUAGAUGGACACAGUGCUUUCAUUUGUUUAUUUAUUUUUAUGUGGUGCUGAGGAUCGAACCCAGUGCCUCAUGUAUGCGAGGCCUGCGGUCUGCCACUGAGCCACAACCCCAGCUCCUCCUCUUUCUUUGAUUUUCUCAUUUUUUUUGUGUCUCUGAAUUGCAUUUUUGUUUCUUCAGACUUAUUUUGCAAUUCAUUAAUUUAUUCUUCAGCUAUGUCUAACCUGCUGCCACAGCUAUAUUUUAUAAACUUAUUUUUUAUUUUUAUAUUUUUUGUUAUAAAUGUUAUGAUUAUUCCCCAGACCCAGACCAUUUCUAUAAUUUAAAAAUAGUUUCUUGUUGCCUACAGAUAACAUCAAAUUUGAUUUUUACAUUAAUUUAUUAUUUAAUUGAUGCAUAUGGCUAUUCUUAAAAGUGGAAUUUCUGUAUAUUCACAUAUGCAGCUGGCAUAAUUUUGUCAAUUUCAUUCUGCAGUUCCUUCCCUUUCCCAUCCCUCCUUCUAGAUAAGCAAUAUGUUAACUUUGUUCAAAAUAAAUUAAUAUUAGAAGGUAUAUAAUGAAAAAAAAAUCUCCUUUUCACCGUGUUGAUUAGUCACUGAGUUACACAAACGUGUUUUUACCCCCUUUGUAAAACUGCAAUACAUUGUGUUUAAUUUUUGUUUUUCACUUAAUAUGAGUACAUAUGGAACCUCCUUAUUAUUUUUCAUAAGUGUGUUUUAUUUCAUUGUGUAUAUAAACCCACCUUCAUAACCUGUCCCCUAUUGAUUUAGGUAGUUUUCAAUUUUUUUUGCCACUACAAACAGUGCUGCUAAGACACACAGAUUUGAUUAGAUAUCCUUUUACCAAUAAGGGAUUUAACUCUAAGAUAAAUUACUGGAAAUGGAAUUUCUAGAUCAGAGGGUACACAUAUAUUUUUAUAGAUAUUGCCAAAUUGCCCCUCCAAAAGUUACAUGCAUUAGCCUUGGUUCAGCAAUAUAUAAGAAGAUCUAUUGCCCUACAGCUUAACCAAUACUAUUAUGAAACUUCUGGAUUUUUGCCAGUAUGAUAAGAGAAAGUGGUCUCUCAAUAUACUUUUAAUUUGUAUUUUUCUUUUUAGGACUGGAAUAUGCUUUUCUUCCAUUUUUUAAAAAAAAUAUUUAUUUAUUUUAAUUAGGUAUAUAUGACAGCAGAAUGCAUUUUGAUUCAUUGUACGCAAUUGCAGUACAACUUUUCAUUUCUCUGAUUGUACAUGAUGCAGCAUCACACCAUAUAUGCAGUCAUAGGUACCUAGGGUAAUAAUGUCCAUCUCAUUCCACCAUCUUUUCUACUUUCAUGUCCCCUGCAUAAUCAAAGUUCCUCCAUUUUUCCCAUGUCCACCCCCAUUAUGGAUCAACAUCCACUUACCAGAGAGAAUGUUUGGCCUUUGGUUUUUUGGGAUUGGAUUACUUUGCUUAGCAUAAUAUUCUCAAAUGCCAUCUAUUUACCUACAAAUGUCAUAAUUUUAUCUCUUUUAAUGCUGAGUAAUAAUCCAUUGUGUAUAUAUAUCAGUUUCUUUGUCCAUUCAUCUGUCGAAGGGUUUCUAGGUUGCUUCCACAGUUUAGCUAUUGUGAAUUGAGUUGCUAUUGGUGUGGCUGUGUUAUUAUAGUGUGCUGAUUUUAAUCCCUUUGGGUAUAGACCGAGGAGUGUGAUAGCUGGGUCAAAUGGUGGUCCCAUUCCUAGUUUUCUAAGGAAUCUCCGGGAAUAUGCUCAUCAUAGUUUUGAAGAAUCAUUUGCUUUUCUUUGACCUAUGUAUUCAUAUCAUUUGCCCAUUUUUCUACUGGAUUAUUGGUAUUUUAAUAUUUCUUUAUAUAUUAGGCAUAUUAGCUCUUUGUCUAUACUGUGAGUUGCAUUAUUCCCUGCCCCCUUUGUCAUUUGUGUUUUGUGGAGUAUGUACAUGGAUUUUUUAAAAGUAGUUUUAUAGUUGUUACAUUUAAUAAGUUCAGUCAGGUCUUUCUAGAUUUUGUGUCCCUGACCUGUUCUUUCUCCUUUGCAAUGUCUUGUGUAUGUGUGUGUGUAUUCUUGAUUAUCUUGACUGUGUGUUGGUCAUUGUGUUUUAAGUAUUAUUUGUAGGAAUAAUAUGAGGUUUAAGAUGAAGGUAUGGUUUUCCAAAGAGGAUUUAUGUUUCUCUAUUGGGUAUUUGUGUUUGGGGAGGACUUUAAUUCAAGCUUAAAGUCUGAUAUUAUCUGUAUGAUCCAGGUGAUAAGAAUUUCCUGGGUUAUUUUUGUAUUUUGAGUCAACUAUGGUGGUCACUGGUUUACAUGUGGCUGGCUUUAGAAUCUCUUCUUUGUGGGAGUCUGGACUUUGACCUCUGUUCCCCUUGCACCAAUAAGUGGCCAGUAUGAUUGCCCAAUCUCUCUGCUCUUAGGUGGAGGUGGCUAGAGGUGGAAUGCUUAGUAAAUGCUCUUUAAGAGCCAAGUUUACCUUUCUGGAUUCUCACAUUUUCUUAGAAAUUCAUGUUAGUACUUUAUUUAUUUUUUUUAAAGAAAAUCCUGUAUUCUUAAUCUAUAACUACUAAUCUAUAAUCUAUAAUCUAUAACACAUCUUAGAGUUUUGGGCACAUUCCCAUACUCCUUUGAUUUCCUCCUAGAUAGGAAGUGCUUAUUGACAUUUCUUUCUUUUUAAAAAUUUGUCAUUUUUAGAUAUACAUGACAGUAGGUGUAUGUUGACAUAUUAUACAUACAUAGGAUGCAACUUAUUACGAUUUUGAUCCCAUUCUUGUGGUUGAACAUGAUGUGGAGUUACACUGGUUGUUUUUAUUCAUAUAUGAGCAUAGGAAAGUUAUGUCUGUUUCAUUCUAUUAUCUCCUAUUCCCAUCUCCCCUCCCUUCCUUUCAUUCCCCUUUGUCUAUUUCUCAAAUGUUUCGUUGACAUUUCAAAUCUAAUAUUACAAAACAAGGCCUUUUGUGUACUAUAUAAGGACACACAGGAGGCUACAGGCUUCCAGCUGUCUGGUAUAUUCCAUCCUCAUACCCUAGCGCCUCAUCUAAAUGCACAGUCAGAAACCUCGGAUUCAUCAUCAAUCCGUCUUUGUUCUUGCCACCUUCUUUACAUCCACUCUAUUAGCAAUUCCCCUCCACAUAGCUUCAAAAUCCCCCCAUUUUUCUCUACUCUUCAAAUCCACUACCACCACUCCACUCUGAGCCUUCAUCAUCCUCUCUCUUAGGUUCAUUCAGACAAGACCUAAAUUAGAUUCAGGUCUUGCUUCUUCUCUUGUUGAGCUCAUCAUUUCCAUUUUUAAAUCCCAGACAGUGAUCUUUAAAAAUGUAAUGGAUAUCACCAAUUUCCCCUAUUUAAAUGUCAUUCUUUGAAGUUGGGUGAAAUCAUUCUACUGACCAGAAAUUUGAUAACAACAUCCUCCACCCUGUGGCUGCUUUCUGACCUCACCCAAUGCACUGUUGUCUGUUUCUGUUUAUCUGAUAGGUGGAGCUCAUAACUGUGAAGCUGUGCAGACUUCUUAUUCUGCCUAGGAGCAUGCUUCCCUAAAUCUCUACUCUUACCUCAAGUGUCAUAUCUUCAGCAGGAUCUUUCCUGACCAUCCAAUGGAAAUUGCCACUCCUAUCCAGUGAGUCAUAAUGUCUCAUUUUCUGCAUAUUAUCCUAGUCUAAAAUGUUCUAUUUAUUCAUUCUUUUUCCUGUUUAAUAUCUGUCAUCUAGACUGGAAUGUGCCUGUUAUGUCCAGCUCCCCAAAUAAUAUGUGACACAUAAAAUGUCCAAGAGGUACAUUUUUGUGGUUGUUGAAUAAUGGAGAAAUCUCCUUUGUGUUCCUUGAGUUGCUUUAUUUUCAGACACGCACUCAUUUGGAUAUAUAGUUUGUUUCUCUUUUAGAAAAAAUAGAAGGGCAGGGAUAAAGUAGGAUAAGGUGUGUACUUAAGCAGAUGGUCCAGGAAAGCUUUCUUCUCUCUGCAAGAAGGUGGAUGAUUAUGCCCCAUGACCAGGUCUUCCUUGAAUGACACAUGACUGUAGUAGGUGGGGACCCUUUUGUAAUCACUUGUGUCUACAGUCCCCAGCAAGGUUUCCUCCAAUCACUGUUCCUUCUCACCCUGAAUCCUUCCUUCCACUCUACCUCGCUGAGACUUGCCUCUUUCUUGAUUGGCACUGUGUACCACUUAUUUUCCUCCAACACUCUAGCAUUGUCUGACUUGAAAAAGGACAAAUAUUGUAUGGUACCACUUACGCACCUAGAAUAGGAAAAUUCAUAAGACAAAAAAUAGAUUAGGAACUGUCAGGGGUUCCGGAGGGAGGAUGAAGUGUUAAGUAGUGCUUGAUGCUUAUAAAGCUUUUGUUUGAAGUAAUGAAAAGGGUUUUGGAAAUGGUCAUAAUAGUUGCACAACAUUGUGAAUGUAAUUAAUGCCACUGAAUCUUAUACUUAAUUAUGGUUAAAAGUGAAAAAUUUUAUGUAAUUUUUAUUUUACAGUAGUUUUUUUUUUUUUUUUGGUACGAGGGAUUGAACUCAGGAGCACUCCACCACUGAGCCACAUCCCCAGCCCUAUUUUGUAUUUUAUUUAGAGACAGGGUCUCACUGAGUUGCUUAGUGCCUUGCUGUUGUUGAGUCUGGCUUUGAACUCACGAUUCUCCUGCCUCAGCCUCCUGAGCUGCUGGGAUUACAGGUGUGCGCCACCGUGCCCGACUAUUUUACCAUAGUUUUAAAAAUCAGUAAUGUAAUAUACCAAGAAACAAUAAAUUGUAUACUUUAAAUGGGUGAAUGAUAUGUGAAUUAUAUCUCAACAAAGUAGUUUUUAUUUUCAAAGAAAAAAGGAAAAACUAUUGUCUUGAAUUUGUUAGUGUCUGAUUCUUUUAGAUAGUUGUGUGUUUCAUUUUCUCUUUUUUAUGGACUUAGGUUAACUGCUAUAGACGAACAUUAAGUACUUGAGAGAUGUUUGUUACACUAAUGAGUAAAUGCUAGAAGGAAGGAGAUAUUUAGUUGUGUAGAUUUUAAAGCUUUAAUUUGUCGCUGGUUGAUAUUUACAUGAUGAUUAUCUUUCAGGAUUUCAUAUCCAUUUUGCGUUACGUUUAUUUUUUCCUACUCUCACCAGAACACAAAAACAAACAGAAAAUGACUUCCUAGCUUUUAAGAUGGAAUAGUGAAACUCUAAGACUCUUAUUGUAGAUGAUCUCAAAGCAAAUACAGGGAGAAAAGAGCAAGAGUCGGGGCUCCCGUUGGCUCCUCUCAGGCCAAAUUCCUAGUUAUUUCCAGAUCACAUAACUCACACUUGGAAGGAAAGAGAAAUUGCACUGCAAGUGGAGGUUAAAGGGAUGUGUGAGUAGGUAUUUCAGAGGCUGAGUUGGUGCCUCGGGUGAACCAUGACCUUAGGUGGCCUGUGGCCUCUGCUCUCUGUCAUACAUUCAGUCCCGUAGUCUCACCUUUCAGUUUUACCCUUAUUGUUAGAGGGAUGUGCUUCCCUGCUCUCUAACUCAGAUGAGGAUUGGUGUUUUACCUCCACUCCUUGUGUGGCUUGUUGCUAACACAUUUAUUUGCUGUUUGCCUUUAUAUUUUGUCUAUGUUCUUGAUGGCCUAUCCUAAAAUUCAGGAGGGAUGUAUCUUUACUGUGUGCACAAAGAAUUUAGAGCUCCAAUUAGAAUGACAUACAAGAGAUCCCUAACUUAUCCAUGGGCUGGUACAUUCCAAAUAUGGCCUAUACAUAUCUUGUUUAAAAAUCAGAAUGCAGGGGCUGGAGUUGUAGCGCAGUGGCAGAGCACUUGCCUAGCAUAUGUGAGGCACUGGAUUUGAUCCUUGGCACCACAUAAAAAUAAACAUAAAAUAAAGGCAAGCUAUCUGUCCACAACUACCAAAAAAGGGGGAGAGGGGGGAUUGGCUUCUAAAAAAAUCAGAAUGCAUUUUUCUGUAAUGACAAUGUUGUAAAAAGAUAUUGUAUUCCCAAGAUAACCCCCCAAAACCAAUGAAACCAUGAAGUUGUUAAGUUUUGGGGACUAGCGAAGAGUCUCAAACCAUAUACCAGGUUGGACUGUAAGAUUUGAGAGUCCUCAGAGUUUUAUUGCCCUUCUUGACCCCACUUUAAGCUCUGGAAGAUACCAGAAAUUUGUCAUUGCUGAAACAUCUUACUCUUCUCGUUGGUUUCCUGGUGAAAUUCAUGUUUGACCUUUUUGGUGAGGAUUUUAUCGCUUUGAAAAGAACUAACGAGACCUUCUCUCCAUGGGCUGAGAAGGAAGUAGCUUUGUAGGACCGAUUGGUAAUUUCUGUUUAGGAGAAUGAUCAAGUUGAUAAAGCUGUUGUGAGGCUCACAAGACAAGAAUCACCAAAGGGGUUGAAAAGCAGUUGAGUGUUUUAAAAUUGGAAGUAAGAGGAAUAUAAAGUAUUGAAGGGAGCUCUAUAAGCAACUAUUCAUUUAUUUAUGUGGGAGUACACAUUGUCAAUAGAAAACUGCAGGAACUCUCACAGAAUAUGGUGUUGAAACCAGCAUCGACUAGUUUCUAGCCUACUUCGUAGAACAUCUGAGCCACAUUACCAUUUCUAUUUUAGAAUGCACAACUGCCAGAGUCAUUAAAUCUUAUUAAAUCAGUCUAAGACUAUUGGGAGUCGUAAUUGUCAGUUUUUAUGCUCCGCGUAAACUCUUACCAAACUCUAGGCUUCCAUAAUUGUAUUUGAGGCGCUUCUUUCCCAGAGCCCACACAAAUAAUUACAAAUACCAAGGUGUUCAGGGAUUCCACUUCUUUUAUGUUUGGUCUUAUAGGAACAAACAUAUGGUUGAUUUUGACCCUCCAGCAAAGUAAUGAAAUGAAUUAAUUUCUGGAUGAUUAGCUGCAUUUUAUGGUGACUAUAUUGGCUUAAUAACAAAGAAAAGCCAUAUGUACAUGUGCUUCUGUGUGGAUAUAGAUUAAGAAAAUGGGGGAAAAGCAAAUGCUUUGUUAUGAGAUUGGAAUGCUGAAUUUAUGUUGUCUUCAUCCUACUUCAAACAAGAGAUUGUGGCUUGAACCACUCUGGUAAUCAGUUUAGGUAGUAAGUGCUGUGACUACGUAUCUCACAUCUCAGUUUUCCAAAGGAGAAAUAAACAAUAAUGCUGACAGCCUUGCAAUUACCCAUAAGAGCCAAAGAAUCUGAUAGAAAUGAAAAUAAGUGAUUGAAUCAAAUAACAAUCUAAUUUUUCUAUUUUUCAUCUGACAUCUGGGGAAGACUAUAAGAUAAAUUUUCUUUCAACUUUUCUAGAAUUGUCAUAAAAAUUGUAUUGACGCUUGACAAACCUAUUAUUAUAAACCUUCCAUAUUUCUGAUAAGUUGACAAUUUGAUUAUUUAUUAUCAUUUUUCUGCUUUUUUUUUGUUAAAAAUCUCUUGGGUAGAUGGAGAGUUGAUUAAAAUUUAGUUGUCUAAAAAUCUUUCUUAUUCCAUCUUGUUCUUAAGGGUUUCUAUUUAUCAAAUGCGCUCUCGUUUAUUUUUUGAUUCCUUUUCCUGUAUAUUAUUAUUUUGGCAUUUUAUUUGUGAGAUGGAUACUUGAAACAAAAUAACUUAGUUGACUCUAAAUACCAAAUCUGCCUUCUGUUAAUGGAGGAAUUUAUUUAUUUGAGUUUGGUUUCCCUUCUUGAUAUGUAUAUCAAGCACUCUACCACUGGACUGCAAUCCCAGUCCCUCCUUUUUAAAAAAAAUGUCUCUAAUUGUGCUAAUAUUUUAGUGGGAGAAGUUUCUUCCUGAACAAGAUGAUGAUGAAGUCUUUGUCUUAGGAUUUACCUAUUUGACUUGAGAUAUUUGAAUGACAUGUGCUAGUAGUGAAAAUAUUGUUUCUAAUUUGUUAAAUGGUCACCACAUUUCUUUGCAACACAUUAAAUACUCUUAAUACAUUUUGGGGAUAAAACUGUUAAAUUGCUGCCUAAACUAGAGGUCCAGAGGUUUAUAGGCUUUUGUUGUGGGCGGUGAGUGCCUACAUCCAGGUCAAGAAAGAGAGCAUGUCUAGCCCCCUGCCCAUCUACCACCCCCAAUCUCCAUGUGAUUUUUACUACUCAGUAUACUCACCCACUGCUCUAGAGGUAACCAUUGUUUAAAUCUUAUGAUAUUUUUUUUCUUGCAUUUAUUUAUAACUCACCAGCUACAUAUAAAUUUUAGACAGAAUAGCUAUGUUGCCUGUCUUGGAACUUUUAUAAAAGGACUCAUAACUUGAUUUAUCUUUUCCAUCUUGUUCCUUUUCUUGUUGUAAUUGCUGUGCUAGGUAUGGAACCCAGGGCCUCACCCAUCCUAGGCAAGUGCUCUUCCCACUAGCUACCUCCCUAGUCCCAUUUUGUUUCUUUCAGUCAAUGUUUUAUUUGCAAGUUUUAUCCCUGUAUCACAUGUAACUAUUGCCCAUUAAAUGUUAUUACUAUAUAGUGUUCUGUUGUAUAACUUUACUGCAACUUGUUCAUGCUUUUGCAGGUGAACAUUGGUGUUUAGAGUUUUGUGCUGUUAUGAUACCUACUGCUGGGAAUAUUCUUGCACCUACCUCAAAGCACACAUUUCUUUAGGGCAUAUACCCAGUGAAGUAACUCCAAAAGAAAUGGAGUAACCCCCCAAACUCUUGCCAUAAUUAGGCCUCUUAUCAACAAAAUUUUACAAAGAAUGUCAGCAGGAUUUCUGCAGAGAGCUUAGUAUGGUUUGGAGCUUCCUUUUUAUUGUAAAUGGCCUUUACCUUAAUCUGACCGGUUUCUCUUUCUUGUAAAAGCUAAGUCUACAAUCAAGCAAAAAUGCUAUCUCUGUUUUUUUUUUUUUAAUUUCUUGAUAAUAACUCAUGAAAACCUCUGUCUAGCCUAAGAAUAUGGAACAACAUUACCUCCAUGUAACCACCUAGUGUUACAUAAAUCUUCCCCCACUGGGUAUAAAUAUAAAUAAAUUUCCAGACCUGGGGUCCAGAGACUUUUAGGCAUUAGCUUCUCUGGACUGCUGCAACUUAAAUACACCUGCUUUCUGAGCAUUCCUCCGGUGUUCACCCUCGUUUGUCCUGAGUCACUAGGAGUGAAAUUGGUGGGUGCAGUGUUGAGCCACAUGCAGGAGCCUUGGUCCCCAGUGUGACAGUGUUGAGGUGGUGGGACCUUAAGAUGUGGGGCUUUGUGGAAGGUGGUUAGGUAACAGGGAGCCACUGAAAGGGAUUAAUGCUGGAUGAAUGGAGAGAGUGGGUUUUAACACGUGGGAGAGCAUGUUGGUGUAAAGAGAGUUCACUGCAUGUGCUUGUGCCCUUCAACAUGUGGCUAUUUCCCAUUCUGUUUUUCUGCCAUGUCGUGACACAGCCAGGGGUCCCUCACUAUAGUCUGAACAGAUGAGGCUGCCCGAUCAUGAACUUUCAGCCUCCAAAACUGUAAGCUAAGGAAACUGCUUUUCAUUAUAAGUACCCAGCUUUGAGUAUUCUGUUGAAGCAACAACAACAAAAUGCGUUGUCCGUGAGUCAUAAGGUGUUUGAAUCUAAAGAUUUAACAGGAAAAGCCAAAUCUUCCCUCCCAAAGUUUCACUAUAAGAUGAAAUUGUUUGGAGUAGGAUUAAUAGUUCAUACUUCUAUAUUUUUGCACUUAUGUUUGUCAAUAAAUAUUUUAAUUUAACUUUUUGUAUCCAGAACUUGUAUCAGCGUUUUAUUAGAAUCAUGAAAUGAAGUAGACAGCUUUUCUUUUUCUCAUUUAUUGAAUGACUUGCGUAAUAGAGAAUGUAUGUGUCAUUAGCAUUUGGUAAAAUUACCUAUAAAACUACCGGGUCAUGAUGGAAUAUGGCAAUGAGAAGGUUUGAUGCCUACAUACAUUUAAAUAUUAAUACCAAAAAACCCAAAUAAUUCAAUCAGUAAAUGGGACAAGGAACUGAAUAGACGCUUCUCAGAAGAUGAUAUACGAUCAAUCAACAAAUAUGAAAAAAUGGUCAAUAUUUCUAGCAAUUAGAGAAAUGCAAAUCAAUACUACUCUAAGAUUUCAUCUUACUCCAGUCAGAAUGGCAGCUAUUAAAAUACAGAUGACAAUAAAUAUUGGCGACACUGUGGGGAGAAAGGCACACUCAUACACUGCUGGUGGGACUGCAAAUUGGUGCAUCCAAUCUGGAAAGAAGUAUGGAGAUUCUUUGAAAAACUGGAAAUGGAACUGCCAUUUGACCCAGGUAUCCCACUCCUCAGUUUAUACCCAAAGGACUUAAAAACAGCAUACUACAGGGACACAGCCAUAUCAAUGUUUAUAGCGGCACAAUUCAUAAUAGCUAAACUGGGGAACCAACCUAGAUGCCCCUCAGUAGAUGAAUGGAUAAAGAAAAUGUGGCAUAUAUGCACAAUGUAAUAUUACUCAGUAUUAAAAGAGAGUAAAAUCAUGGCAUUUGCAGGUAAAUGGAUGGAGUUAGAGAAUAUCAUGCUGAGUGAAAUAAGCCAAUCUCAAAAAAACGGGGCCGAAUGUUUUCUCUGAUCAGUGUGUGGCUAAUCCAUAUGGAGGGGCAUGGGAUAAGUGGAGGAACUUUGGAUGGGACAAAGGGGAGUGGGGGUGGGGUAAAUGGGUAUGAAAGACAGUGGAAUGAGAUGGACAUCAUUACCCUAGGUACGUAUAUGAUUGCACGAAUGGUUUGACUCUUCUUUGUGUACAACUGGAGGUAUGAAAAAUUGUGCUUUAUUUGUGUAAUAUGAAUUGAAUUGCAUUCUACUGUCAUAUAUAACAAAUUAGAAUAAAUAAAAUAAAAUAAAUAAAAAAUAGCUAUUUUUCUAGAAAUGAUUUUGAUUACAUAUUUUACUAGAUUUUGUUUAGAACUUAAAAAAUGAAUUUAGUAAGAUAAUUUACAUGACAGAAAGCUUCCUUUUAAAUUUAAGACAUAUGAUUCCUUGUUUUUUAAAAACUAUAUUAAGAAUUGUGUAUUCAUCAUACAUUAUCUAAAACAUUUCCAUACUCCUCGAAAGAAACCUGGACCUGUUAGCCAUCACUCCCCAUUCUCCCAAACCCUCAGUCCUAGGCAACCAUUAAUGUACUUUUUAUUUCUUUAUAUUUGCCUGUUCUGGACUGCUUUAGCUGCUUUUUGUUGCUAUGACUGAAAGACACGACCAGAACAAUUCUAGGGAGGAAAAGUGUAUCUGGGGCUCCCAGCUUCAGGGGUCUCAAUUCAUAGAUGGCCAACUCCAUUGCUCUGGGCUGUAGGUGAGGCCGAACAUCAUGGUGGAGGAGUGUGGUGGAGGAAACAGCUCGGGACAUGGUACCAGGAAGCAGAGAGAGAGAGCUCUUCUCACCAGGGACGGAAUAUAAACCCCAAAGGCACAUCCCUAGGGACCCACCUCCUCCAGUCACAUCCUAUUUGCCUACAUCACCACUCAGUUAAUCCCUAUCUGUGACUAACACACUGAUUAGGUUAAUACUCUCAUAACCCAAUCAUUUGGCCUCUAAAGUUUCUUGUAUUGUCUCACACAUAGCUCUUUUCACUUUCUUGAUAGAAUCUCUUGAAGCAAAAAUGUUAUUUAUUUAUUUACUUUUUAUUACUCAGGGGCACUGGACCACACAUCCCAGCCCUAUUUUGUAUUUUAUUUAGAGACAGGGUCUCCUUGAGUUGCUCAGUGCCUUGUUGCUGCUGAGGCUGGCUUUGAAUUUGCAAUCCUCCUGCCUCAGCCUCUGGAGCUGCUGGGAUUACAGGAGUGCACAACUAAGCUUGGCCAAAAAUGUUAAUUUUAAUGGCAUGCAACUUAUCUAUUUUUUUCUUUUUCUGCUGUCAUGUUUUAAAAACUAUUGCCUAAACCAUGUCUUGCGGAUUGACUCUUAUGUUUACUUCAGUGAAUUUUAUAGUUUUAUCUGUUAUAUUUAGAUCUAUAAAACAUUUUAAAUUAUUUUUUAAAUAUGACGUAGAAGUCCAAAUUCAUUCUUUUCUUUGCAUGUAGAUAUCCACUUGAACCAGCAUCACUAGUUGAAAAAAUUAUUUCUCCCUUGGAUGUUCUUGGCAACUUUGUUAAAAAAAAAUAUCCACUGGCUGUUACCAUGAAGGUUUAUCUCUGAACUCACCAUUUCAUUGCACUUAUGUGUGCAUGUUUUUCCUUAAGCCAUGGUUACCCAACCUUGAUCAUUGCAGUUUUGUUGUAAGGUUUGGUGUUGGAAAGUAUAAAUCCUUUGAAUUUGUUCUUCAUUUUUAGGAUUGUUUGGCUAUUCUGGGUCACUUGAAUUCCCACGUGGAUUUUUGAGUCAGCUUGUCAUUAUAUAUUUUUUAAAAGUGGAACUUUCUUGAUUGUAAGUCUUUUGUAGGAGAAAGACAUGUGCUGUUAGAAUGUCAGAAACUAUUUGUGACACCUCUCUGUACCUUCACCCUUCAUUCAACCCUGAGAGCUGACAGUACAAUUGGAACAUGGCCCAGGUCCUGAGGAGGCUGUCUGUGUUAAGAGCACGUUACCUGGGCUGAACCUGGCUUUGACAUUCACUGGUAAGGUAAUUAUUAUACACUUCUCAAAAAUGUCCAUUUCCUAAUCCAUAAAGGGGCAAUAAAAUAUCUCCUAGCUUCAUGUUGUGGCAACAAUGUCCCAUAACAAAUAACCACAAAACCCCAAUGACAAACUAUAAUAAGCAUUUAUUUUUUACACAUCUGUGGCCAGUGGGGGGCCAGCUACUUAGCUUCUUAUGCCAACAGAGCUCACUCACAGAGAUGGUGAGGGUGACUGGUGGUUGGCAGGUUCUGUGUUCAUUGCACUCCAUUGUCCCCUAGCAAUGGCACAGGCUAAGCCAGAAGUCUCAGUCAUGGCAAUUUAUCUGGGUGAAAAAUAGAUUUGUAAACUGGGAAACACAGGUUCAGUUAGAAACCAAUCGAAUGCUCCACUGAGGGGAAGCAGUAAGAGCUUUUUAUAAUAGGAAAAAGGGAAGGGAGUUUGUGCAGCUUCCCAUUCUUGGUGGACUUCAGUAAAAUGGACCGAGUGGCACAAAUCAGGGUAGUUACAGAUUUUACAAAUUCAUUGAAAACUGCUCCCUCUGAAAUUUCUCUUGGCCCAAGAGGACCUGUCAGGAGUUUCAAGGCUCACGAGGGAUUUUUGCUCUCUCUGAAAUCAUUAUGAUUUUUAUUUUAUCGGAGGCCACCUGAUAAAAUAUAAGAUAUCUGAUAAAGGGCACAGAUCAGAGAGGGCUGAAGCAUUUGGUGCUGUUUUUGCAUCAUUAAUGCCAUCAUUAAUCUUCCAACAGGAGUAUUUCACUUCCUUCCUACAUGUAAAACAUACUCACCUUGCCCUUGACACCCCAAAGUUCUAACCAAUCAAGGCAUCAUAGGCUCAAAAGUUGAGAUUGUGUAGUCUACAUCAGAUCCAGAUAUCCUUCUCUUGAUGGAGAGACCCAUCAGCUAAAAGCAAAUAUAUCUAUAUGCUUUGUCUCAACCUAUAGUGAGAAGAAGAAGCAUAACUCCAAUGAACACCCACUUAGGAAUAGGAAUGAGAAGCAUGGAAGAAAUCCUAAAAUAGGACUAGAAAGGGUGGCCAGGUGGCCCUGUCUUGGGAGAGGGGGUACGUUCUUCUCUUUUAGGCUCCAGUUCUGCUCCCUGGGGGCUCACUGUGGGCUCUGCCUUGUCCUUCCUUUUGUAUCACAGUUCUCAGCCAAAUAUAAAGAGAGUUGGAAAAUGGGCCCUUUGAACAAUUCUUUCAUUCUGCUACCUAACUAUGAAAAUCAGUGGCCCACAGGCAUUUUCAUGCCUUGUACAUUUUUAGUUUGGGAUGCUGGCACUUAAACCUGGAUAGCUGUCUCAAAACUUUUGUGGAUUUGCAAUGUUAUCCGAAUUUAUUCCUUCCUCAUAUGUCAAAACCUGCUUCUACAAUUCUUUUUGAGAAGCCUCUCUCUCUAGGCAUAAUCUCCGCUUCUUUGGGCAUGUCGGGCUGCUGCAGGGCAAUGCCGUUAGGAUUUCUAGAAGCCUUUUCAUUCCACUUGGAGGAUCUAAUAGGCAUUGACUCAAUUCUUUCUGAGGUCUCAAACCUGGGCUUAAGUCUACAUCGUUGCUUUGGUUUUUAUCUGAGGCCAUGUUCUACUCACACUACUCUUGGAUUUGACCUUUUCACCUAGGCUGGGAAUAUGUAUUUUUUUGGCUGGAGAAAUUGGAGGUAAGAAACUAUUUUUCAAACAGCACAUCUCCAGUUCUUUCUAACCCAUCUGAAUUCCUGCACACAAGGUCAGUUCUUGUUAAAAUUCAUACCAUGCUUUCAGUACUGAGUCAAAUCCAGCUAGUACAGUACCAGCUGAAGCUUUCAAUGUUUUGUCCAGCAGUCUCCUUUCCCAACUUCGAAGGUUCAGCAGGUAAGUCUUGUCUUUUGAGUCAUCUAUGGUGAGGUUUUCACUAAAUGCUUCCUCAGCACGUUUGUAGCCUCCGCCUGACAACUACAACAAAAAUCACCCCCCUUACCACACACGUGCACGCACAACACACACACACACACACACACACACACACUCAUACUCAUUCCCCCUAUGGUAGGGCUUUGCCUCUACUACCAAUUUCUGUACCAAUUAGCUAUUGCUGAAUAAUAAUUAUGCCAAUUUUCAUUGGCUCAAACACAAAUCAUUUAUUUUUCUAGCUCACAAGUCAUGAAGACGUUUUUUUCCCUAAUUUUGCCUGAGCUCACAUCAUCUCAGAUGGUCUUGUUUAUGCGUCCGUCAGUCUCCCAGGCAUCCUGCUCUCCGUGGCCUUGACUGGGGUGGCCAACAGCCAAAGCUCACUCUACACAUGUCCCCACCUGGUCAGCCAAAGCACGUCUUUCUCAUGGCAGCAGCCUAAGCGCACGGGGCAAGUGGAAACUGGAAAAUGCUUUUAUAAUCCUCUGUUUGUGUUGUGUCUCCUGACGUCUUGUUGGCUAAAGCACACCAUAGCCACUCUGAGCAUCAAGGGCCCUGGAAAUACUUAUUGUUAUUAGAAACUCUGGUCACACAAUGAAGAUCAUGGGUGUGGGGUGGGGUUAAAUUUGGAUUCAAUAGUGCAACCAUUUCUCCAUAAAGGAUAUAUGGAUAUCAGCAUAUAUACCAACAUGCACAUAUACACAUAUAUCUAGACACAGGUAUGUAGAUAGAUAAGCAUGCACAUAUGAUCUGGCCCCUCUUUAGAAUGCACAGCAGCUGACAUUCUUUGAUCUCAGCCCUGAAAUCUUGGCCUGAGUUAAUAUAAAAAUUUUGUUGUUAUCAUCUUGUAACAUUUAUGGUAGCUGGAUUGUAACAACAACAACAACAACAACAACGAAUAUUUAUCAGGUUUUAACUGGAAGCGAAUUAAAAGUCCUUUACACCUGUCACUUUUGUGAUAACUUCAUGAUAAUCCUGAAUGGUGAAUUGCAUACUUCCCUCUCUGAACCAGGAUCCAGCCAGGAUAGCAGAUUAAGCCUUGAACGGGAUACAAAAUAAAGCUUUAAUAUUGAAUUAGUCUGGAUUUUUUAAUACUUGAAAAAUCAGAAUUAUUAUAAUAACUGGGAAUGAUCAAAAUAACUGUGGGAUCUUCUUAUGGCUUUUUACAGGGCUUGAUAUAAGAGAACUGGCUUGGCACACAGGGAAAGGUAGUGCUGGUGAAAAAGUGAAUUUGCUUCAAGUCGGGCACGGUGGCUCAGCUGGUAAUCCCAGCAGCUCAGGGGGCUGGGGCAGGAGGAUCACAAAUUCAAGGGCAACCUCAGCAAUUUAGCAAGGCCCUGAGUAACUUAGCAAGACCCUGUCUCAAAAUAAAACAUAAAAAAGAACUGGGGGUAUGAAAGAACUGGGGGUAUGGCUUGAUCCCUGCUGUGUUCAACUCCACCCUGCUGCCAAAAAAAAUAAAAAUAAAAAGUGAAUCUUCUUUCAAUAAAUUAGGUAUGGGUACAAAUAAGUUUUCAGAAACAGCAUCUGGGUAAGCAGAAUUCAGGUAAUAAGGAAUAAUAUUAUUUAUAUGUUUAAUAUAAUUUGCUUUCAGUUUCCAACUGAGAAAAGCACAGCAUCUCCUGUCUAUUUCCCACCCACCAACGCUGCCUUCUCAACAGGUUUUUCAGACACAAUGUUACAUUCAACAUCACACAACCUGUGUCCACAGGCUUUGCAGUUCAUCCUAAAAUUGAAAAGGAUAAGAAUGCGGCUCAGUCUGUGCCGCUAAGCCAUCGUUUUCUUAGAAAAUCCAUCAACUGUAAUAAAUGUGGGAGUUAGAGAGUGUGUCUGACCCAAAUAAGAAAGGUUUUGGGUUUGUAGCCAUUUUUGUGGGUGGCUAUUCUCAUGAUGAAAGGUUUGUCCUCGGGGAAACUCACACGUGUGUCCGUCACUGGGGAAUGGAUAAAAUUGGGUGGUCAGGAUGCUGUCACGGCCAGAUCUAUACCAAUUGGUCCCUCUAGCCCACAACUUGAGUGAAUUUGUUUCUGGGGCCUCUUGUGUGCCACUGAUCUAUUAUUCUACUCAAGUUGAAACCACCCAUUUUAAUGAUUGUUUUAAUAAACCUUGUUCGUACUCAGGAGUGUCUUCUGAAGGAGCACACAGCAUACUUAAAUUUUUUUUUUUUUUUAAUGUUACUGGGUGUCAGUCAGCUUUUCAUUGCAGUGACCAAAAUAUCUGAGAAGAGCAACUUGAGUAGGACAAGUUUAUUUAGGGCUCAUGGUUUCAGAGGUUCAGUCUAGAGUGGGUGCCUCCAUUGUUCUGGGCCUGAGGUGAAGUGCAGAGACAUCAGGGCAGCAGAGCCUGGUGGAGGAAAGCUAAAGGGAGUGAGGGAGAGCCAGGGGCACAAGAUCUAAUCCCAAGGCACACCCUGAGUGAGUACCUCCAGUCGUGCCCAGCUGCCUACAGUCACCAGCCAGUUGAUCUUCCCAAAUUAUUAAUCCAUCAACUAAAUCAAUCCACUGAUUAGGUCACAGCUCUCAUAAUCUAAUCACUUCACCUCCUGCUUUAACAAAGGAGCUUUUGGGGGACACUUCAUAUCCAAAUCAUACUGCACUAUAUAUAACUUUUAGAUGAACUGUGUGCAUCAUACUUUUCAACAUUGACAUACUUGACCUAAUUAUUCUAUUUUGCUUUCUAGCUACAUCAUACAAUUUUUAUUGACUUUGAAACCACUGAUCUAUCAUUUACAAGAUAUGUUAACUGAGUAACAAAAGUUAGCACUGAGGAAUUAAGUCACAUCAAGGUCAUGCUCUUCCUUUGAUGUGCCCUCGGUAAGUGUUACCACAUUCCCAACCAUUCUCUACCUGCAGUCAGAAUAAGCUUUUGGAAAACCAAAUAUGAUCAUGUCUUUGUUUAAAACUUAACGAUGUUUUUCUGUGGUCCUUAUGUACCAGUCGAAAAUCCUCAGUACAUUACUCCAGGUCUUCCAUGAUCUGUCCUUGGUUAUUUUCUGUCUCCUUCGACUAUUGCCCUAGCUGCACUUUGAGAUUCUCAUUAGCAUUAUCCUCUGCUACACCAGCUGAGAGUUACCUCAUACUUUUUGUAUCCUAAAGUUUCCCUUUGGAAUUGCUGCAAGACUAAUGAUCUUUCUUGAAGACAUCUCCCAUCUUCAUUCCUUCCCCCUCUCUGCUCUUACACUUUUCUCACUGUCAUGAAAGGAGACAAUUGUGCCUACCAUCAGGAGUUUGACAAGAGUAACCCAUAAAACAUUGACAAACAAUAGGGAUUAAUCUGUCUUACAAAAUGGUAAGUCCAUAUUGAUCAAUCCAGAGUUGAUUCAGUGGCUCCAUGAUGUCAGGGUAGAGCUUCUUUCUUUUCAUUAUUUGCCUCAUGGUUGCAAGAUGGCUGCAGCAGUUCCAAGCACAAAGCAAGAAAAAAGCUCUUCUUUUUCCCAUUGUUCUCUUUUUAUCUGGCAGGAAAAUAUGUCUCCGAGAUGAAAUGGGAGACUCUUUUAUGUGUCAUUGGUCAGAGCUGUCCCAACUGCUAAGCAGGCUGGGACAGUUUGGAUUUGGUGUAUCUGACUAAAGAAGGCUGUCUCUGCUGGUAAGGAGUAAAGCAAACAGAAAGGCAGUAGGGAAGUGUUGGACUCAGUAUCUCCAUGUUUGUGCUUUGUAAACACUGAGGUGCUAUGAAUUCCUUCUUUGUACUUGUUGAGGAAAGUAUUCUAAAAUAAGAGAUAAGGUUCCCAAAUCUAUUUGAUAAUAUUUUGUGCUGUGUAAUACUGUAGCUAUUAUGCAAUACAACUUAAAAUUAUAUCAGAUUAAUUAAAACUAAAUUAAAUUAAAAAUUCAGUAUCUUAUUAUAAUAGUCAAAUUUCAAAUGUUCAUUAGCCACAUGUGGAAAGCACAGAUAAAAAAUUUUUCAUUAUUGCAAAAAGUUCUGCUAAAUAUCAUUGGUUUAGAGCUUAGUUAGAGAAAAUUUCUGAGAGCUGAUGCAGAAGGAAACUUUGAGAGUGUCUUGUGCAAUGGUAGUUCUCAGCAAAUGUUAGCUAAGUUGAAAGAAAUUAGAAAAAAAUGUAUGAAAAGGGUUUAUUGCAUUUAAGUCUACUGCUCUUUGCUUUUCUUGGUUAUGAGAAACUCUAUUCCAGUAAAUCCCCUUUAAAAAGUAAUCAUAACUUCUAUCAUGUGACAUAUUUUGUAUCUUUUUUUUUCUACUUUGUCAUGAGUAGACAAGAUUUUUAAAGGGCAGCGCUCUUAAAAAGUUAAAGAGCAGAAGUAAUUUGUCAAAUAGUGAUGACUUGCAAUGCAAGCAAAGUUACUGUAAAAAAUGUAUUUAUAUGUGUGUGUGUUAAUUACUCAGAUCUUUUAAUGUAUUCCAUUACUGUGAAUAAAUUCAACUCAUUAAUUAUAUUGCCAGCAGUUAUCCUUAUUAAUAUAUAAAUAUAAAAAAGAGAAAAACUCAGUUACAGUGUAACAAUAAACUCAACAAUUCCACACAUGUAUUUUAGGCUAUUUUGAAGAUAACAUAUAUCCAGGAUCCAACCCCAACCCUUAUCAAAGGGUAAUUAAUAUGCAUAUUUUGUGCUUUGUACUGAGAUAUUCUUUUGCUUACGCUUCACCCAAAUUCCCACAAAGGUUAGAGCUUAUGCAACAACAUUGAAUCUGAUAGUACAGUAUCAACCAGGAACUUGGUGCAGUGUUUGCUUAAUUUCACUGUGAAUUUUUAGGUUUCACUUUGUUUUCCCCUAUAGGGAUAGAUGCAGUGAUUUUACAACAGAAUCAAUUAAUUACCACAGUGGAGAUACAGUUCUCUUCUAUCACAAGACUAUUGUGUUGUGUAUUUAUGAUCCCAUCACUUCUCCUACCAUCUCACUCCCCCUCCCUAACCCUGGCAACUCCUGAUUUAUGCUCUCUACAAUUUUGUCAUUUAUUUUAGAAUAUUACAGAAAUAAAAUCAGAGCAUGUAACUUUUGGUGUUGGCUUUUUCUCACUCAACCCAGUGUCCCCAAGAUCCAUUUGUUCUUGCAUGUAUCGAUAGGUUGUUUCUUUUUAUUUAUUUAUUUUUUGUUUUGUCUUUCUAACAAUUCAUUUAUUUUUAUGACAUUUAAAUUGUUUACGAUUUUAGGAUUUUACAACUAAAGCUGCUGUGGCUCAGGCCUGGAAUGCAAGGUUCAGGGCUCCAGCAGAUGAAAGAAAAUGCGAAGCACGAUUGGGAUGGUAGACAUUCUUUAUUCAGAGGCACCAAUAGCCCCUGUGCAGCCCACAGCUCCAGCUUCAGCCCCAACUCAGUUCCAUGUAGUCCCAUGAACCAUUUCCAUAGGGGAUGUUUAUAUAUUUUAUAUAUAUAUGAUCUCCUGUAUUUGCUUAACUCUUUACAAUGAUCAUUCUGUAGGGAAGAAUGUUAUAAAGUUUAUUUUCCUAUAUAGUUUUAGUAGAAUCAGACAUAUCCUUUCAUAAAAAUCUCUAAAAUGUGAUUGAAUGGAACAUUAUACAGCCACUAAAAUGAUCAUUAUAAAACCAUAAAUUCCUUUCACUUAAAAUGGAAAAAAAAUGAAAGUUAUGAAUCCAUUGUAGUUGCAACAAUGCAAAAAAUGUUUAUGCAUAUAAAAUACUAGAGGAAAUGAAAUACAUGAAAAUAGAUAGUCCUUUUUAAAAUUUUUUUUUUUAGUUGUAGAUGAACACAUACCUUUUUUUUUUUGUGGUGCUGGGGAUCAAACCCAGUACCUCAUGUGUGCUAGCAAGUUCUCUACUACUGAGCCACAAUUCCAGCCCUAGAUAGUCUUUUUUUUUUUUUUUUGAGAGAGAGAGAGAGGGAGAGAGAGAGAGAGAGAGAAUUUUUUAAUAUUUAUUUUUUAGUUUUCGGUGGACACAACGUCUUUAUUUUAUUUUUUUAUGUGGUGCUGAGGAUCGAACCCAGCGCCCCGCUCAUGCCAGGUGAGCAUGCUACCACUUGAGCCACAUCCCCAGCCCCAAAAUAGUAAUUUUUAAGGUAGGAUUUGGGGAUAUGUAGGCCAGAUAAAGAAGGCACGUUGCUAACAAAUUACAUAAGUGGGUGCAGGCUCACAAGCAAAUGUUGAAUACAUAUGCUGAAUCAGGGUGUCCAUGACCUUGACUACAUUCUAAAAACAUAGCCUGCCAGAAACCUUGGUGAGGGAGAGCCAUUUUGGAUCUGCCCUAAAAAUUCUCAUGAGGAUUUUGGGGGAUGUAAGUUUUCAGUUUUUAGGAAUAAAUGCCAAGGUGUGUGAUUACUGGAUUGUAUGUUAAGGGUAUAUUUAAUUUCUUAAGAAGCUACCAAAUUAUUUUCCAGGAUUGUUGUACCACUUUGCAUUUACUACCAGGAAGUAUGGUAGAUCCAGUUUCUCUACAUCAUUGCCAGCAUUUGAUGUUUUCUCUCUUUAUUUCAGUGGUUCUAAUAGAUGCAUAGACUAUUUAAGCACUGUUUUUGUUAUGGCUUGAAUUCACAUCAAAAUUCAUGGGCUGAGAUGUGGCUCAGUUGGUAGAAUGCUUGCCUAGCAUGCAUGAGGCACUGGGUUCAACCCUCAGCACCAUAUAAAAAUAAAAAAUAAAUAUUUAAAAAAUUAAUUUCUAUGGUGGUAGUCUUAAGAAGUGGGGUCUUUGGAGCAAGCCCUUAAGUCAUGAAGUUUCUGUCCUCAUUAAUGAAUUAUAGUGCCUUAUAAAAUGGCUGGUGGAUUGGCCUCAGCCCUGUUUUGUCCUUCUAUUAUGGAAGCAGACACUCAGCCUUCACCAGACAUUGAAUCUGCUGGAGCCUUAAUCUUGGACUUCAAAGUCUCUAGAACUGCAAGAAAUAUUUUCUAUUAUUUAUAAAUUAAACAGUUUGUGGCAUUCUGUACCAAGACAGCCUUCACUUGCAAUUCCCUAAUGGUUACAUUUUGGACUUUUUUUUUUCAUGAGAUCAUUUUUAAUUUCUGCAUCUUAGUGAAAUGUUUCCUUAUGUCUUUUGCACAUUUAUAAUUUAAUUUUAAAAUUAAUGUGUAGACUUUAUAUAUUAUAGUACAAGUUCUUUUUCAGAUAUGUGGUUUGCAUCUAUUUUUUUUGCCUUUUCAUUUUCUUAACAGGAUCUUUUGCAAAGCAAAAGAUUGGGAUUUUAUUGAAAAUUAAUUCAGUUUUAAAAAAUUGUGAUUUUUGUACCAUGUCUAAGAACUCUUUACCAAGGUCUAUAUCCCUAAGAUUUCUCUCUUGUGAUGUUAGAUAAGUUUUAUAAUUUGAAAAUUUACAUUUAAGUCUAUGAUCUAUUUUGAAUUAAUUUUAUGUAAGAUAUAAGAUAUACAUUAAGGUUCAUUUUAGUCUCUGUGAGUGAGCAAUUUCUCUGGCAUGACUUGUUAAAAUGACUGUCCUCCCUCUACUAAAUUGCAUUAAUACAUUUGUCAAAAUUCAGUUUUCCAUAUUUACAAGAGAAUAUUUCUGGAUUCUGUGCAAUUGAUUUAUAAGUCUAUUUCCUCAUCCAGCACCACCAAAUCUUGAUUAUUAUUGCUUUCAGUAAUUCUUGAAGAUAAUAAUUCCUCUCAACUUUAUUUUUUUAAAAAUUGACUUAGCUAUUCUAGUUUCUUUAUCUUUCCAUAUAAAAUUUUAAAAGAAUUUUAUCUACAUUUAUAGAAAAUCUUGCUUAGAUUCUGUAGAAAUUGCACUAAACCAGUAAAUUAAUUUGUAAAGAACUGUUAUUCCUUUGUGUGUGUGUUUGUGUUUGUGUGUGCUAGGGAUUGAACCUGAGGCCUCUAGAUUAGUGCUUUAAUCACAGAGCUACCUUUUAAGUUCUGGCAUUCCUGCUACAUUAAUUCUACCAAUCCAUGAACAUGGUAUGUUUCACCUAUUUUUAGCCAAUAAGUUUCAAUAUGCAUGUAUGUUUGUUAGAUAUGCAGUUAAAGUAUUUUUUAAAUAAUAAGUAGUAUUUUAUUUUAAAUUUAUGUUCCCGCAUGUUCUCCGCUAAUAUAUAUAAUACAAGUGAUUUUUAUGGUAAUCUUAUACCCUUAGAUAUUGCUGAACUCAUUUUUUAGUUCUAUCAACUUUUGCAGAUUUAUUGGUCUUUUCUAUAUUGACUAUUAUGUCAUCUGUGUAAUGGGAUAGUUUUAUUUCCUCCUUUCCUAUCUGUGUGCAUUUUAUUUUCUUGCCUUAUUUCCAGUACUAUGGUGAGUAAGAGUGGUGAGAGUAGACAUAACUUGUCUGAUUUUUGCAUCAAAAUAAUGCUGAGUUAAAAUGAACUGGAAAGUAUUAUUUCCUCUUCUCUUUUCUGGAGACAGUAUAGAAUUAGUGUUGAUUCUUUAAACAUUUGGCAGAAUUCUUCAAUGAAGACACAUGGGCCUGGGAAUUUCUUUCUUAGUAAUUUUAAGUUACAAAUUUAAUUUUAUUAACCAUUAUAAGGCUAUCAACAUUAUUUUGUAUUGAGGAAAUUGUGCUAGUUUGUGGUUUUCGAAUAAUUGGUUUAUUUAUUCCUGUUGUGGAAUUUAUAUGUAUAGAACUUUUCAUAUUAUUCUCUUCUUAUCCUUUUGUUAUCUGCAGUGUCUGAUAUUGGCAAUCUGUGUCUUCUUUUUUGCUCUCCCUUUGUCAGUCUUGCUAGAGGUUUUAUGACUUUUAACCCUUCAUCUGUUUGACAUCUUUAUUGUAUGUAUGCAUGCAUGUAUGUAUGUAUGUAUUUAUGGUACUGAGGAUUAAACCCCAGGGUUGUUCUACCCCUGAGCUUCAAUCCCAGUUUUAUUGAUUGAUUGAUUGAUUUUGAGCUGAUCUAAGUUGCCAAGGCCAGCUUUGAACGUGUGAUUCUCCUGCCUCAGGUUCCCAAGAUGCUGGGAUUAUAGGUAUGCAUCCAUUCUGUUUUUGUGUGGUAAUAUAGUUUAAUUCUCUCUUCUUUAUUAUUUUCUUUCUUAUAAUUUUCUUUGUGUUAAUUUUUCUGUUUUUAAUUUUUCUUUUUUCUAGGUUUUAAAGAUGGGAGCUUAGAUUACUGAUUUUUUUAUUUUUCCUUUUUUUCCUAAUGGAUAUGAUUAGUGUAUAUAAUUUCCUCUCAAAACCACUUUAACUGCAUUCUACAAAUUUUGUUACAUUUCUUUCCAUUUUUAUUUUGCUCAAUAUAGUUUUUAUUUCCCUUGAGGUUUUCUCUUUGACUCGAGUUAUUUAGAAGAUUGCUAUUUAGUUUCUAGGUGUUUGAAGCUUUUCCUACAAUCUUUAUUCAGUUUUAAUUUGAUUUCAUCCUGGUCAAGAAACACUGUAUCAUGAUUUUAAUUAUUUUAAAUUUGUUGAGGUUUGUUUUAUGAUCCAGGAUGUGUGCUUUCUUAUAAUGAAUUUAAUAAGCCUUUGAAAAAAGUGCUUAUUUUGCUGUUGUUGGGUGUUGUGUUCUGUAAAUUUCAGGUAUAUACUGUUGCUUGGUGGUUUUGUUGAGAUCUUCUAUCUUCUUGAUUUUCUGUAUAGUUGUUCUAUUGAUUGUUGAGAGAGAGGUAUUGAAGUCUCUAAGUAUUAUUCUGGUUUUUACCACUUUUCCUUUCAGUUAUUUCAGAUUUUGCUUUAUGUAUAUAUUUGGUACCGAGGAUUGAACAUAGGGAUGCUUAACCACUGAGCCACGUCCACCCCUCUUUUUAAAUUUUGAGACAGCGUCUGGCUAAGUUGCUUUGCGCCUCCCUAAUUUGCUGAGACUGGUUGGUCUUGAACUUGCAAUCUUCCUAUCUCAGCCUCCUGAGUUGCUGGGAUUAUAGGCGUGUGCCACCAUAUUUAGCUUUAAUCUUCCUUUGAAGCAGGUUUCCUCAGACAUUGCUCUUUACUGCCAGAUGGGGGGAAAUCCAGGUUUCCUACUUGGCCUUCAUUGACGCUGCCCAGAUGAGGAGGGCACCUCAUUACUUGUGGGGUGGGUGGGGUUUCAGGAAUCCCACUAUGCCUUGCUGUUUACACCUUGGCUGAUUGGAGCUGGGGUGACUCACCACUGUUUCUUGCGUGGUCUCAGACAACACAUGCUGCAGGGGCCUCAUUACCACUGGUUAGUGGUGAAAGUCCAACCUCGCCACCUAACCAUCUCUGAAGCAAGAUGGCAGAGUGUGGGGUUCUCAGUACUCUUCCUUGUGUGAUUUCCAUUGAUACCAAGAGAGGGAGCCCACUAUUACCUAGCAGGGCUGAAAGUCCUGACUCAUAACUCAGACUUUUCUGGUACCACUGUCCUGGGAAGUGAGCAGCACAUCACUGUAGGCAGUUGUUAGGAAAUCUAGGUUCUCCAUUUUGUGUUUGCGGAGGGCUGGGGCAGUAAGGUUUUGGGGGACAUUGGCUUGAGUCAUGCUGUUAUGGGCUAAAUAUUUUCAGUCUUCCUGAACUUCCCCCUUUACAUCCUUUGGAUAGACAGGGAAGUCUUGGGACACUUUUGUUUGUCUUCAUUGAAUUUUCUGGAUUGUUGGCUUUUCUAGCAUCUAGUUCAGAAUAAAUGAUGAUGAAAGAAAGCUCAAUGAACUUGCCACCAUGUUUUUCCCAGGGUCUCACUCUCCCUGGCUGGAUUGACUUUUCUGUUCCACCUUUCAGAAUAUUUUUUUUUUCUGUCUUAUACAUAAUGUCAUUAGAGGAAGAAUUAGGAAAAUGAGAGUCUGCCUCAUCUUGUAAGGGAAUUAAUUAAUUUUUUUUGUGGUAUUGGGAAUUGAACCCAGGGCCUCACACAUGCUAGGCAAGUGCUCUACCACGGAGCUAUAUCCCCAGCCCUACCCCAUCUUUCUGGAAACAGACAACUUUAAAUGCCUUACCCACAUCUUCCUACUUUGCCUAGAGGUCUCCCUCAGUGUGUAUUAGAUAGGCUAACAAUAGCCUCUGUAGUAAUCAAACUCUCCAUGUCCAGAGACGUGACAUCACACACAGUUAUUUUUCAUGUGUGUUACUGUUCCACAUGUGAGUGCUCCUGAUUGACAUGUGGCUUCUUCCAAGUGGCAAUUUGAGAAUCCUGGCAGAUAAUGGAGGAUUAUUAUAAUAGUAAUAAUAGGCUUUUCUUUAGGUCUUUGUCUUUUUGUGUUUACAGCCCUGCCCUAGGGGAUAUCACCCAUAACUGUGGUUUUGAACACCUUGCUGUCAUCCCCAGGUCACUUCCAUACUGACAUGGGGAAGUGGGGCAGGGAGAAUAGAUGGCACCACUGGCCGACUCUACAUAACUUACUCUCCAGAGCUCCCUGUGAGACCAGGCUGAGACCAGAUGUCAGUGGAACCCACAUCUCUGUCUGGCUUCCUCCUUGGUCCUCUUGCAUGCUUUUGAUCUUGCUGAGAUUGUCCCCUAAAUAAAUAAUUUUUAUAAGAAUCCCCACCUCAAAGCUCUGGGCUCUGCUUCUAAUGAAUCUGAGGUCAUCUAUACACACAGAUCCUCAGAUUUCUAUCUGCAGCCUGCACCUCCCUACUGAAUGUGCUCAUCACCAUUUCUAAUGGAAUUCAUUUAAGCUUGCCACAACCAAGACUAAAGUCCUGAUCAUUUUUGCUUUACUAACACUGUUCUUCCUGGAACUCUUCACCUCUCUACAUAAAAACUUAUUACUCCAUUUGCUUUGUCUGAAAGCCUUGAUGUCAUCAUUGACUCCUCUCUUUCUCUCUACCUCCCUUAUCUGUAGUUUCACUUUCUGGGAUUUUAGUUGCCUGCACUCAAUCAUGGCCUGAAAAUAUUAAAUAAAAAAUUCUGGAAAUAAACAAUUUGUAAGUUUUAAAUUGCAUGCCAUUCUUAGUAGCAUGAUGAAACCUUAUGCCAUUCUGUUCUGCCCCACCUGGGACAUGAAUCAUCCCUUUGUCCAAUGUAUCCAUGUUGUAUAUGCUACCUACCUGUUAGUCACUUAGUAGUCAUCUUGGUUAUCAGAUCACCUGUUAUGGUAUGAGAGUUUUUUUUUUUUUAAUUCAAGUAGCUAUUAUUUUACUUAAUAAUGAUGCUAAAGUGCAAGAGUAGUAAUAUUGUCAACUCAAAUAAUCAAAGAGAAGCUAUAAAGAAUUGAAAAUGUGAAAGAUUAUCAUAGGAAUAUAUGUAGAGAAAAAAAACACAGCAUGUGUUGAUUCAUUAAUAUCCACCAUUUCAGGAAUCCCUUGGGAGAUCUUUGCACUUAUCUUCUUGUAGAUAAAGGGGAACUACUGUGUAAUUUAGGAAGAAAAGGAGAAACCCUUCAAAUAAACAUUUCAAAUUGAUUAUGAAACUCCAUAAUAGAAAGAAGAUAAUGCUGUCUACCAACCAUGACACAAUUCAUGAAAGUAAUCCUAUGUAGUCCAUGAAUUUACCUUCACCCCGCCUCUUAUCCCUCUGAAGUUUUUUUUUGCUAGUUAGAUGUUUCUCCUGCCUCAGUGAAUGCACUCAACCUUUGCUCAGCAAUUCUGUUUUAUGUGUCACAUAAGCAGGAUGUAACCCAGCAUCAUUAACUUGAGGAAACUGUCCUUUCUCAGGACUUAAAUGUUUUAGACUAACUAAAAAUGUACAAAUUUCAUUCUGGUGAACAUUUGCUUCACUAAUAUUAAUUUACAACAUGCUGCUCUGUUGUCAUGCCAUCCUAUGUAACCCAAAUAUUUUUGUUUUAAAACCAAAUCAUAAUAACCUUUUUCUCCUCUAAAAUUGUUCUUGUCAGGUCUUUUGGUCACAGUAGAAAAAAAAAUCCAACUAAAUACUCCUUAAACAAAUCAAAGAUCUCUUUGAAGAUGUAAGAAAAAACAAACUCAGUUUCUCCUAUUCUACCUUCCUUCAAAACUGACUCAAAGUCAAAUUGGUCAGAAAAUAGGUUUUAUUCAAAUCCAGUUUUGAAGGAAGGUAGAAGAAACUUAUUGCUUCAAAAUUCCCAUCUUUGAAAUCUCUGGAGGUGAGCAAAGGUUUUAAAGGAGGAGAGAUGGGAAAGAGGCAGCCAAGUGAGACCAAAGGCAGGAAAGAUACCUGCCUUCUGCUCAUCUGCCUCCAGACUUAGCCUGUGUUAGACAGGCCUGAGCAGGGGGAAGUCUCCACCCUCAGCUUCCUGCACACCCUGCAGGGGUUGUAAAACUUCAGUCUCCACUAUCUGCAUGAGGAAGUUGUUCUUAAUUUCAGAGAAGGCCCCUCCAAAUUCAGACUCUUUCAAUCACUCCCUGCACCUUUAGCUCAUCCCCUCAAUCUUGAGGGAAUUGAGGCUUCUGUGUCAUCUGGUUUAUAGUCCAUGGUUGGAUUAUUUUGCAGAACUCAAACAUAAGAGGUCAGAUGCUUAUUUUCGAAGGAGACAAAAUCUGAACUACUUAAUAGCCCUGCCCAAGGGAAGGAUUUCAGUAUUAGUUUGCUUAAGAACUCUCUUUCCAUAACUUCCCAGCUGUUUCUGUUUUUGGUGGGGUUUGACAUGGGACUCCAUGUGAUUUUCUUCCCUGUCUUUGAAUGAUUUUUGCUGAUUAUUUUCCAAAUGUAUUUGCUUCAAUGUUGUGAGUCCUUUGUCCAGUUCUUUGAUCUGGGAUUGUCCCAUUUUGAAAGGGAAGUGAUAAGUGAUUUGAGUCAGCAUCAGAAGACCCCCACUUUGGCCAAUUUUAAACAACAGAAGAUUUUUUGGAAAGAUUAACUCUUAGGCUAGAAAGACACAAUAUGCUAAUAAGAGCAAAACCAUUGUAUAUGUUUCAAGAUUUUGCUGUUGUUCUUUGUUUCUUCUGUUUUUUAAUUCUGAGGAGGGAGAAUAAAUGCAUUUGCAUGUUCUAGGGCUCAUUUGCUUUUAACUAAUAAAUGCAUUUAAGAGUUGAAUGAGGGUGGGGUGGACUGUAGACAUUCCCAUUAGAUGUAAGCUUCUUGGCAGAGACAGCAUUCUUGAAGACAGGCUGUUGGUGUGGCUCCCCAAAGGAGACGUUCUGGCUCGGGCGCAGAGUGCUAUGUUUUUGGACAGGGUAGUGGCAAAAAUCCACACUCUAACUCUCAGACCUGGAGCCAAGGGGUCUGAGGAGAUCAUCUAAGAGCAAAAGUGGGAGCCAAACCCAAAGGGGACUUGGCAGAGAGGCAAACUCAACUCCAAAUGAAUAGUCUAUGACUGGGCUCCGUGGGAAAGUAAUCAGAUUCUAGAGGCAAAUGGGAGAACUGGGGAUUCUUAAGGGACCAGGGGGGAGAUAGUCACAGAUGGGUCCUUUUCUAGAGCCUCAUACCUUAAAGAAAUUGUAAGGUACUUUAAGGGUACCUGAUUUGUUCUAAAUAUUCACCUAUAACACAAAUGGAAUCACUUCAUGAGAACAACACAAUUAUCUGAGACCAAUGGAUUGUAAAAAUACCAUACACAGUGUACUAUAUAAUCUAACUGUAAAUAUACCUAACAAAUACAAGUGGUAGUGAGAUUCUGACGUCAGUUCCUAGGGCUUUUAUACUAAAGAUCUACUGAAACCUUGAGCAGAUAAUAUUAUUUUCUUCUAUUUUUGGUGCAGAUUUCUCUUAUCAUUGUGCAGUCUGGCUUCUUUUGUGUGUCCCAAGCUGGCUCACAUUAAUGUCUGCGCACACACACACACACACACAAUUUAAUUUUUUAGUUUAAACAUAGUCCUCCAUACUUGUGGGUUCUGUAUUUAUGGAUUAUAUUAAUAAAUAAAAUUCCUUCUGUACUAAUCAUGUACAGACCUUUUGAUCAUUAUCCCCUAACAAUACAAUAUAACAACUAUUAACAUUGCUUUUGCAUGGUAUGAGGUAUGAUAAAUCAUCUAGUGAUUUGAAGUAUAAGAGAGGAUGUUCAUAGGUUAUAUGCGUUUUAUAUAAGGAUGUGAGCGUCUAUGGAUUUUGGUAUUCAUGUGGAGUACCUGGAACCAGACAAAUUACACAAGAUAUUCAACAAAUUCUAAUGAAACAGACUUUGCGUUAGAUAGUUUUGCCCAGCUGUAGACUAAUGCACGGGUUCUGACCACAUUUAAGGGAGGCUAGGCUAAGGUGUGAGGUUUGGUAACUUAUGUGUGUUAGAUGCAUUUUCAACUUAUGAUAUUUUCGAAUUCUGAUAGACUUCUCUAGAUGUAAAUCCAUCAUAAGUCAAGUCACAUGUGUAUGGGGAAAAAGCUGUGUAGUACCAGAACAACUCACAGAUUUUCGAGACCAGUUCAUCUGCUACCAAAAGCUCGGUCCUAGUCCCCAAUGCCAAUCCAAUAACGAGGACAUGGUUUUGAGAAAAGGGGAAAUGAACUUUUAUUGCUUUGCUAGCAAAGGAGAAACACAGGGGACUCCUGCCCCAGAGGCUGUGAUUUUCUGCCCAUUAGGGGGAACAGAGAGAGGGUUUUUAAAGGCGUGAAUCAAAGACCACAUUUCACAUGUUUCUUCUUAAUUUGGGAGACAGUCAUUUCUGAGAUUUUCUGGUGCCAUCCCCAAGUCUGAAUUACUUGGUUCCUGUGGUGGGUAGGUGCUCAAGCACAGAUAACUCUGCCUAGGAUGGGGAAGAAAGGUAAUCCUGUUUCCCCUGAGAUUAGGGGAGAGCAGGGAGAGAGGAAGAGAAAGAAACAUGUCCUUUUAAAAAUAAGUCACAAUGGCAGAGCAGCAAGGGCUAUAUUCAGAGCAUGAAGUAGACCACUGUUACACAUCUUCUGCGAGUUCCGAGUCACAGUUACCAGAAGACUGGAUGACCUUCAUGCUUGAUCCAAACUGGGUCUUCAUGUUGCUAGAUUUCAAGUACUGUAAGUGCCAUUAGAAAGUGUUAUUGUUUUGAUUCCCAGCACACCCAAAGGGCUUUCUGAUCAAUUCAGGAUGAGUCGAAAAGUCAAGAAAAAAAUUCAAAUUCCCUGUCCUUGUGCCAGACGCCUCAGUUCAGAGUUGCUCAGUGAAGUGAACUGACAGGUAUGAUGUAUGAGAUGAAAGCACUCUAACAUAAGAUUAACAUUUAUAUGCAUUUCAAUCUUUAUCGCAGAUAUCAAAGCAAAGUAGGGACACGUAGGGAAUACUUUGAUGACGAUGGGGACUGAGAAGUAUGGGUUUCCACAGCUGAAGAAGGCACAAAACUGCUUUGAAAAGCAGGUUUGCAGAUUAAGGGUAAUUUUCAUAUCUUUGGGGUGACAUGCCAAUUUGUGCUUAAAUCCACAGGGCUUCAAUCUGAGCCUCAUAAAUGAUAAUCUGUGUGACUUUAAGCAGACAGUGGGGGCAAUGGUGACAAGUUUUGUACCUUUUGUUUUGGAUUUUUAAAAUAUAUAUGAAAGUAUUCCAUUAAAAAAAAAACCUGUAAGACCAUGGUCUCUUUAAAAAUUAGCAAUAAUUCCUCAAUAUUAUCAUAUAGUCAACCUGUUUCCAAAUUUUCCUGAUUGGCUAUUUUAUCUUUUCAAAGUUUUAUCUAGAAAUUUAAGCAGAUGCAAGUUUUUUUUUCUUUUCUUUUUUUGGACUGGACUGUUUCACAGUGGUAGCUUUCCAUUAGGAAGCUCAUAAUGUCUAAUUCUCUCUGUCUCUGUCUCUCUUUUGUGACAUUUAUCAAUAAUUGAUAAUCUUAGCCUAGACCCAUUAAUUCAUCAGUGUUGCAAAAUGUAAUGUUCUAUCUCAUUUCCUUCAUUUGAGGCUGAGAUAAUCAAGAAAGAAAUGUGUUCCUUGUCAACUAUUUGAAUGCUCUGAUGUGUGGAUUUUAUAAGGAAGUUCUGAUAAUUGCUUCACUCCCUCUCCCCACUUUUUAAUGACCAUUUAUAAAAUAAUGAGUUGGCUCUCCAGUAUAUAUCCAAGGUUGGUUAAUGAGUUGAAUUUUUUUUUCUUUUUCUUUUUAAGUGUCAUUAUUAACACUGGGUUAAAUAGUUAAUGUGAUUCAAUCCAUUGCAAUCAUUAUCUUUGUUGAUGUUCAAAUUGUUUCAAUUUUGGCCAGUGGGAGCCUUUUCAAAUCAGUUCAUGAAUACUUUUGGCAAGACACGAAUAGUUUAGAAAGUUCCCUUGCUUUCUGGUUUGCUAGCAUAUCUUGGGCUUUCCUUGUACUUGGGAAUCAGUCAUUUCUCAAUGGGUCCUGCUUUUCAUAGAGAGAAAUAUUACUUGAAAUAUAUAUUCUGAGAUGUCAUCACUACUGGGUGGGUCUUUGUUUAUGGGUAUUCUCAGAGCACAAAACUAAAAAAAAUGCAUAAUAUUUUUAAAAAAGAGAAGUCAGGGAUUGAUACAGUGCUCCUAAUUCAAACUCUAGAUCCAGGAUUUUCACCUACCAUCAUUAAUCUUGGCAUCCAUGCUGAAAACUCUCAGUCAACAUCAACCUAAAUAUUGACUUAACUCUCCUACAAACACAUAACACAAGCUACUACUACCACCACCAUCAUGGAAAUGCAUUUAGAGUUUUGCAGGGUUUUUUUUUUUUUUAUCUUUCAAGUUUAUCCUAUUGUGAAUAUAUAGCCAAGUUGUUGUGCUUCAGAGUAAUUUACAAUUCUUCUCAAUGGUUACACUGCAAGUUAGAGUAUCAGAUUUUUUUUAAAAAAUACUUUUUUAGUCGUAGAUGGACAUGACUUUAAUUAUUUAUUUAUUUUUAUGUGGUGCUGAGGAUCGAACCCAGUGCCUCUCACACACUAGGCAAGCGCUCUACCGCUGAGCCCCAGCCCCAGCCCAAGACCAGAUUUGUUAUUUUUAUUUGCUUUUUAUUUUUAGGGAUUGCUUUUGAAAAAUGAAUUUAAUUUGUUUAAUAAUGUAAAAUAAUUAUACAGUUCUGAAGUCACAUCUAAGCAAACAAAAUACACUCAGAGAAAUCUAGCUGUUUUCUGUUCUUUCUGCUUUAUUUUCUCUCUUUUUCUAUAGGUAACUGAAAGAUACGGAAAAACAACCCCCAGGUAGAAAAGAGGACAGGGAGAGAAGGAAAACAAUGUGGUCUGGACUUUCACCGGUUCCCAUGUCGACAACUGUUCCCGACUGCCCAGCUGAUACAUUCUGCUAUGAUUCUGUCUCCCUGAACCCUACAAGACUAAGACUUCUGUUGUAACCAGUUGCCAUUUUCCUCUUGAAAAUGUGCCCCUCUGCUUCUUAAUACAGCAUCACUGAUCAU
rnacentral:lncRNA from 1 species